GCUCGUGUUCUAUAAAGCUCACACCAAAUCUUAAUCAUAAAGAGUGGGAAUGAGAGAGAGAAAAAAGAAGAAGAAGAAGAAGAAAAUGGGGCUGAAAAACUUCACUGCCAUUUUUCAAAAUCAGACGACCCGUUUCCUUUCAAAGGGUAGCCAAAAAGUUCCCAUACACACCCAUUAGCGAGCUUCUUCUUUACGAAAAAAAAAACUAAAAAAAUUAGAUCAUCAUUUUCAAACCACCUUCUAGCUAGAACUGGAAACAAAAAAACAGUACAGACUCUCUCAUCAGCGCUGUCUCUUUACGCCACCCUCGAGUUACUACUAUCUUGCCCCACGUUGACUCAAGGAACCAUAGCCGCUGCUUCCACAGUACCGUUAACCUGAGGUGUUCAUUACCGGAAUCAUAACACAAGGCAGGCCAGGAGCCCACUCACGUCGUCCAUGUGCAUCUUCAGCGUGCUCGUUUUACAUUCUUGCCUCUGACCUCUCUGGACUUAGCUUUAUUCAAGCACUAGCCACUCAAAAAAAGAGUGAAGAUGAGGUACGGGAUAUCCAGUGGAGCUGUCUCCAUCAUAAUCACUCAAGGUAUAAAGCUUCCACCUAUUCUCAUGUAGUUGUAAUCUUUUUGCAUGUGCAUGCUACUGCAAAGGCAAGCUCCCGUUUUUCCUUUAUGUGCUAUGAAGUUAACAUAUAGUGUUGUAAGGUGUGUGGAUCUUUUAAGUCCUAACCUGGUCACGGGUGUUCUUUCACUUGCUACGGGUACUGAAGGGGAUGGGGUGUGAUUUUUCCUUCAAACGCAUAUGGUCUUGAAAACUUGAUUGCAUGUCCUAAGGUCAUGUUAAGACCUUGCCUAGUUAAUUAAGAAUGCUCUUACCCAAGGUUAAAGUUCAAGAACGGUAUGAGAAGGUGGAAAAAGAUGUUGACAACUAUUGGGGUCAUAGGUUUUCCUUUUUUUUUUUUUGUCUUCAGAAAAUAAAAAUGCAUAGGACUGUCAGGGAGUUUUUCCAUACCAUGCUUGGGCUUCGGAUGUAUGUUUCCUUUACGUACAUGAGAUGAUGGUUACCUUGCUUUACGUACAGAAAUCUCCAAUGACUAAAUAAAAUGAUUUUUGGUUGAAGAAGAAUCGGUAUGUGCAAGGGUUUCUGGUUCAUUUCUUUUUACUGUCCCAUGGCUUUUCGUUAAUGCUAGUACAGCUAUAUUUCUCUUUUCUAAAGUUAAGUAGGUUGAUAUAUAUAGAAAUCGGUUUAUCACGGGUUUAAGAAUAUUAAAGAAAAAAAAAAAAAAAAAGCUUUCAUGGGUCUUCAAGGCACAAACACUCAUAUGACAAAUUUUAAGUUUUCUUUUUCACUAAGGACAUGUGUGGUAAAUAUGACCAAACAUAUUUUUCAUGGCCUUUAUUUUCUUUUCUUAAUUUUUUUUUGUUUUGUCUAACAUAUCUUAGUCUAAUUUUAAUUAUUUUUCAAGUUUUGAAGAGCCAUUUUGCAACUAUAUUUUUGGUUUUCCACGUCAUUUUUUACCUUUUCAUAUUUAAAAACAAGUUUAUUAAAUCCACAGGGAUUUGGCCUAAGUUUUAAAAAUACUAAAAAAAUUAAUUUGUUUAUUUUAAUACAAUGAAUUAUGAGCUUAUAUCUAAAAUGUAUUCUCGAUAUUAAAAGGAACAAAUGCAAAAAUAUGUUUUGGCUCUAGAAUGGCUAGACUUGACCCAUAAAGCCAUGGUUCUCUGUACUAGGGUAGACCUUCUUUAACUAAUAGACAAAUCAAUGAUUAGAUAAAGAAAACAGUGCCUUAGUAAUAAUCAGAAAAAUAAACAAUAAAGCUUAUCUUAGGUAUGAUUACUAAGGGUGAUAAUGUCCAUCCUAUAUACAACUUGUCCCCUUGUCUAGACUCUGAAGACUAGUUAGAGUUUUCAGUGAUCAAAAUACAAGAUAGCAACUCCAAGCAUUUUUUAUUUAUAAAGGACAAGAAGUCCAUGUUCUUUCCACACCACACCAAAGUCCUGAUCUAGGAGGAUGAUCGCAAUGAUACCACAUCCGUGCCACAUUCAACAUUGUAUUUUCCAUGAGUUAUCCUUUCUAUUUUUCAAUUACUUUGAUCCAAAUAAUGUGUUACCCUCUCAACAUUCUUCAAAGUCAACAUGUACUUCUACUAAUUGAUCUAAAUAUGAAUGUGAUGCGAUGUAAAUGAGUAUACAAGAUUAAACAUAUGGAAGAUGGGACUUUUUAGCACUACAAAACAUGUUUGGUGGCCAAAUGCUAUUAUCGACAAAAAAGGGUUUGAUUUUCAAGAGAUAUUUAGUGUAGUGAGGAAGCCUUGCACUAUUUAGACAAUGCUCGAUAUUGGUGAUACUUGAGGUUGGUCGGCUUAUUAGAGGGAUUUCUUCAUUUAGAUGUGUUUAUAACCCAAGCCAGGUUGUUAAAAUCGCGAGUUAUGAGUCAACAUGUAUCUAACGUGCUAAAUCGGACUAAAAACUCAAAAAUAGUAAAAUCAGACUUGUGCAAAAUCAGUAAAAUCGGUAAACUCAGUCCGAUUUUAUGAGUUUACUAAAUUUGUGAUAUGAAUCAAGUCAGGUUCAAAUUUGGCCUUAAAAUAUCUGCUGACUAGUUUUGCGAGAUUGAGCAUAUAUUUCAAACUGUAUAUUGGAUAAAACUGAUAUUUUACAGGAAAAUAUUAGAUACAUAAACAUAUAUUGUGGUAAAUUGUUAGGUCAAAUAGAGUUAGGAAACAUAAUUUUAGAGGGUCAAAGUUAGUAAACUAAUAUUGUCAAAUAUGUCAAACAAGUCCUUCGUGUACUGUUUGGAACAUAUCCAGAGCUACCGGUGGAAUUUUGCUUCAAUUAAAGUUGGGAUAGAAACUAGACAUCUGAAACUUUCCAACUAUAUACGUAGGCCCAAGAAUUCAUCCAAACAAGAGAGAAUGACAUGUUUGAAAUCAGGACUCAAAUCUACCAAGAAUAUGCAAAAAAUAGAAGAUUCAGGUUACAUGGAUGAAUUUUAACAUGAAGACUUUUUUAUUAUUCUAUUUUAUUUAUUUAAUUUUAAAUAAUUAUUUUUAAUUUGAAUUUUUUCUAGCGCAUUAGACAUUGUUUAGGAAUUUGUUUUAUUAUUGAAUUUAUGUUAGUUAAUUACUAAUUUAAACUUAUUAGCUUGCAACCCAAAAGGGGUCUAUCAAGACUUAUUGUGAUAGGAACAACCAGGUUGUCACUAGGUUUAUGUGUGCUUCCUACCUUUCAGUGAUUCCCUUGUAUUGAAAAAUUUUGUUCUGUGACUUUUUAUUUCUCCAUGUCAUUAAUUUAUUGAUUCAUACUAUCUAUCUCUCUCAUUUUAUUUAGAUCGCUCAUUGAUUAUAAUAUUGUUGACUCAUUUUAUUAGAUUUUAAUGUAAUUUAAUUUCUUGACUAAAAUUAUCAAUAUAUAAUUAGUUAAAAAAUUAUUUAUGAUUUUACGAUUUUACGAUCUGAGUUUAUUUUAUAUUUUUCGUGUCGUGUCAAAAAAUAUUUUUGACAACCUUGAACCCAGGCUCUUGACUUUAUUGAUCCACAAUCCCCAAACCAUAUUCGCAAACUAAAACUUUUUUUUUAUAGUUUAAAACAAGCACCUCGUGCAUGUAUUGAUUGCUUAGUGAAUUCUUAGUUUCUCAAUGGAUUUUAUAUUCGUAAAUUUUUAAGUGAACCCAGGUUAUAUUAUCAUGAUAACUAAAAUAAAAUGAGCUAAAUUUAUUUAUAAAAUGAGCACCACACGCUUAGAUUUAAAUUCCAUAGAAAGAUUAGCACCUGAUGACAAGUUAACUCGGGAAACAAAGGUAAUAACAAAGUUUUGAGAUUGAAUUCGACACUAGGUCUACUUAGUAGUUAGUACAUAUAAGUUGAAGGAUUGCUACCUUGACCAAUGAACUGAAAAUAUCUUUAAUUUAUAAUGAAUGGCAUACACCAUACAGUUUUACCAUAUCAACAGCAUGAAAAUUGAUAAUCGAUCCUUUAGGGAUAUUAUUCCAUUUCUUUAUUAAUUAUCAUAAAAACAUUUAUUAAAUGUGUUGUCCUCCAACUCUUUCCAUAAAAAGAAAGAGUUGUGAACCACAACAUACAUUUGAUCAUGGACAAAAGGUAAUCAAAUAGUUGCCUCCACUAGGACAAGUAAACGUGCUCGAUUUAUCAUCAAAAGCAUAACUAUAAGCUUGAGGACACUGCUGCUUGAAAGUCAUCGAAUAUUGGGUAGGAGGACAUGUUUCAGCUGUAUUAUACUCUCCUGUGCAGCAGUACUGCGGCUGGUUAAAUGCCAAACACGCACUCUUGCAGGCAAUCACAGUCCCAUCUGAACCUUUCACUGCUAAACUAGGAUCACAAACAGCAUUCACGUUAGCUGCACAGCUUGUAGAAGGGCAGCCAGUAGAACCUCCUUGCGGGGUUACCGAAAUUGGGAGGUUAAAGCCAUCAACAAGGCUUAUAUCGUAAUAAUCUUUCCCACCAUCACCGCUUAGAGUAAAUUCUGCCAAGGAUGCUGGUGGGAUCGCACCGGCUCCAUUGCAUUCUAUGACACCAGAGCCACAGUCAGCAGUAGCACAAACAAACUUUCCCGAGGCAUCUGUAGAGCAUUGCGUUCUGGCCCACAAGCGGCCAGACCAAUUGACAGGGACACUCAGCGAAGAUGAAGCACCCGUUGCCAAUGUGAAGCCAGUUGAAGAUAAAGACGGACCGCCAGCAGCCGUUAGAGUUCCUGGCCAGACUGUGUAUGGACAGUUGUUUGUGAAGUCGAAAGUCACAGAUUGAGCUCCUGCAUGCGUGCAAGAUUUAUUUUUGUUGAUAUCAAUAAUUAAAUCUUGGUCGAUUCAAAGAUAACAUAAUUCAAUAUUUAAAAUCUUGUAUUAAUUCAGUUAUUUUUCUUUUAAAAAUAUAACAUAACCCAUGUUUUUUUUUAAUAUAUUUUUUUCUUUUUUCUUUUUUAUCUGGAAACUCCCUCCUGGAUAAAUUUAUUGGAUUCACGAAAUCCAUUGAAUAAUGAAAACUAGUUAAUAUUGCAUACGCAAACAGAAAAUAUAUAUGUAGAAUAAUCAAAGUGAAUAAUAUGCAUAAUAGAGUUUUCCAUGCAAGAAUCUAGUAUAUGUAAUAUUGUAAAACUACUUGCCAUAGAGGAAGAUGACGAGGGUGAAGGUAAUUAUAGCAAUAUUGGGCAUACGACUCUCCAUUGCCGAGAUGCGUCGAAUUAAGACCUUUUCAGUAUCUUUCAAGAGAUUUGAGGUAACCAAGAAACACUCUAUAUUUUAAAAAUAUUAUGAAAUGAGCAGACUUAAUAAAUAGUGUAAAAUUUGCAGACUAGUAAACAGAGGAACGUCCUGCUUCUCACGUCAAAUGAAAGCAACACCCAAUUGAAUAUUGAAUGCAACUCUGGUCCAGCAGACGAGCCGUGAUGAAUGUGAGAGUCUUCAAAAUUAAAGAAAAAAAAUUCACCACCUAUUAAUUAAAAACUUUAGAAUUUAAAAAUAGACAUUGGUUAGAGAUUUAGACAUUGAGCUAGUUAAGUCUAAGAAAGAUCAAUAUCACCCUUAUCAUAUCCUUUAAAAUGAAAAGUUACCUCCACAAUGCAUUUAAGAAAAAUUAUUCCAUGCAUAAUAUUAAUUAUCUAAAUUUAUUUCUAAUCUUUUCGUGAUUUAUUUUAAUAAAAAAUUGGCAAUUCAAAAUUUAUUUCUCAUACAGACUAAACUAGAACUAUUUAUCAAGAAUUAUUUGUGCUAAUAAAUAUUAAAGAAACUCGUUAAUGAUAAGUAAAGACUAAACUAGGAUCAAAUUGAUGCUUAAAAUCAUAAUUCUCCAUUAAGUUAUCAAACAAUUCUGAAAAUUUGUGUGGACCCUUCUAAUAUGAUACUUUAACUUGAGUUAAAAUUUCAGAGUUUUUGAAGAAAGUCAGAAAUUUGAUGAAAAAUCACAAUUUUACCAGUUUUACGUUAUUGGGCGUAAUUUUCAAUCCGACCAUCCAAUUGAGCUGAAAUUUUACAAGGAAUCUUCAAAUAUAUUGAAUAAAAUCUGAUUAAAAUCUGAUUAAAUGAACGGAGCUUGGUAGUGCUAACAAAAAAAAGGACCGUCAAAUAAAAGCAAAACAACUCAUUAAGGGCAAAAUAGUUAUUUGCCAUUAAAAAUAAAACAAAUUAUCUCUUCCUUCUUUUUAUAUGUUGCCGACUGAGCAGAAGCAAAAUAGAAAAAGAAAGAAAAGAAAAGACGAGAGAGAAAGAGAGAAACGUAAGGGAAAACAUAAAAAGAAAAAUCAAAGGAAAAAAAAUAAGUGAGAGAAUAACCUUGUACACUUAUAAAGUCCGACUUAUAAAACACUAAUCUUAGAAAGAAUCAAGUGAAGGAAUGAGGAAUUGAGAAAGGGAAAAAAAUUUAAUUAUUUUUUUUCCAGUUGAUAUGAGAUUGUUAUUUUAUCCUGGUUAAGGGGUUGUUACAAUAUCGAUUCAGAUUCGAUUAUAAAUGAAUUAUAUUCCACAAAACAUCGAAGGAUAUAACUUCAAUAGUAGGUUUAUUUUUACUUUCACUUCAAUUUUAUGUACUUUUAAAUUUAUUUUUUAAUAUUUUGGAUAAUGUAUUUCAAUUAAAAUUUUACUGUUAACUUAAAAAAUUCAUAUACAUAAGUUAAUAAUUGAUCUUAAAAAAAUUUAUAUAUUUAUUUAAUAACCCAGGACGGGAAAAAUUCUUGACUCUGCUGGUAACAACCAUCUUCCACACGCACCGUCUCAUCCACGAUGACAUUUGACAAUGAAUGUCAAAUUAUAAAAUUAUAAUUUAUUUAUAUUUAUAAAAAAUUAAAUUAUAAAAUUGGGUCUAUCACCUAAAGUGCGCAGAGACCGUCCAUGCACUGACCUGCACUCAUCCAAAAAUUGAAUAUUGAAUGUAACUCUGGUCCAGCAGACGAGCCGUGAUGAAUGUGACCCUCUUCAAAAUUAUCACACCGUGAUGAAUGCGAGAUUCUUCAAAAUUAAAGGAAAAAAAAGUCACCACCUAUUAAUUAAAAAAUUUAGAAUUUAAAAAUAGACAUUGGUUAGAGAUUUAGACAUUGGUUAGAGAUUUAGACAUUGUGCUAGUUAAGUAUAAGAAAGAUCAAUAUCACCCUUAUCAUAUCCUUUAAAAUAAAAAGUUACCUCCACAAUGCAUUUAAGAAAAAUUAUUCGGUGCAUAAUAUUAAUUAUCUAAAUUUAUUUCUAAUGUUUUUCGUGAUUUAUUUUAAUAAAAAAUUGGCAAUUCAAAAUUUAUUUCGCAUACAUAUUAUUAAAUAAAUCAAGAAUUAUCUAUGCUAAUAAAUAUAAAAGAAACCCGUUAAUGAUAAAUAAAGACUAAACUAGGAAAAUUAAGAGAUAAAUAUAAACCAAAAUAUUUGAUAUCGCAACACGAAGCAUGUACCUAGUUGUGUUUAAUAAUUUAUUUAUUUGAAUAAAUUUUGUAUUUAAUAAAAUGAUUAUCCGUGCCAAUAAAAUGAUGUCUACCCAAUACAUUUUUUUUUGUAUUUCAAAAUAUUAUGAAAUGAGCAUCACAUGCUUAUAUUUAUUAAAUUAUAUUAUAUUAUAUUAAAUGAAAAAAAUAUUUAUAAAAAAAAUAAAUUAAAAAACAAAUAAAAAUACUCGAGAUAUCCCAAGUCCUUUUCAAAAUAAGUGAAAAAUCCUAUAGAAAAAACAAAAAAAAAACCUUCUAGAGGAUGAUAUUUUAAAAAAAAAUUCAAAUUAAAAAAUGAUCUCAAAUAAAAAAAUAAGAAUUAAAAGAACAGGGACAAAAUUUGGAAGAUGAAAAAACCAAAGGGAAUGAAAUUGUCAAAGAAUUUCAAUUUUAUAAAUUAUUCCAAACAAAACAAGUAAUAAUCAAAAGAACAGGGACCAAUUAAUAUGAAGGAAUAACAAAUUGAAGGCGUGCUUUGAAAUUUUGAAGGGGCACACACGAAAAUCAAGGGGAGAGUGCGAAGAAAAAGAAAAAGAAAAGCUUGUCGGCACCAAACCGAACAACUAUUUGCCACACACGUUGCCUCAUCCACAACGGCCUUUGUUCAACGAAUGACCCUACACCCGCCACCUGAAGUGCGCGGAGACCGCCCAUACACUCACCUGCACUCAUCAACUAUUUUUUUAAUAUUAUUUAUAUUUAUUAAAUUAUAAAUUUGGAAAUAAAACACCCUGAUAAAAAAAACCCAAUGAAAUAUACAAAUGCCCUUGGUUUGAACCACAAGUGACUAACUUAGAUAUCUCAAUUUAUGAGAAAGCAGAAUAGUAAACAGGCAAUUAGAGGAACGCCUUGCUUCUCACGUCAAAUGAAAGCAACACCCAAUUGACUAACGAAAGCACUAAAUAUCCCAAUUAAUGAGAAAGCAGACUAGUAAACAGCCUAUUAGAGGAAUUGAAACUAUAUAUCCCAUAUCCCAGUUAAUGAGAAAGCAGACUAAUAAACAGCCUAUUAGAGGAAUUGAAUGAAAGCAAUUGAAUGCAGGAAGAGGGCCAGACUAGUAAACAGCCAACAGUGGGAGUUCUCCUCUAGCACAUAGUUAUUAAACCCGGCCCAGGGGUUGACCCGGCCAAGGGGCCGGGUCCCAGGUUUCAUGGGUCGACCCAGGUCGACCGGGGUCAACCCGGAAAAAUUUAAAAAAAUUAAAGUUUUAAUAUUUUAUAUGAAAAAAUUAAGAAAAAAUCCAUGUAAAUAUAUGUUAUACAUAUUGUAAAUAAUGAAGUUUAAAAGAAUAUUUUAAAAAAAAUUUAUUCUGCAUUAAAAAUAUAUUAUGUUAAGUUUUUAAAUUGAAGUAUUUAAACCAAAAAAUUUUCUUAUCCCACAUUGAAAAAACAUAGUUUUUUUCUUAUGAACAUAGAGUAUAUAUACUAAUGAGUUUCAAAUCCCACAUUGAAAAAAGAUAACUUUUUUCUUGGGAACAUAGAGUAUAUAUACUAAUGUGUUUCAAAUGUCACAUUGAAAAAAGAUAAUUUUUUUCUUGGGAACAUAGAAUAUAUAUAUUAAUGGGUUUCAAAUCCCACAUUGAAAAAACAUAGUUUUUUUCUUGUGAAUAUUGAGUAUAUAUACUAAUGGGUUUCAAAUGCCACAUUGAAAAAAGAUAACUUUUUUCUUGGGAACAUAGAAUAUAUAUACUAAUGGGUUUCAAAUCCCACAUUGAAAAAACAUAGUUUUUUUCUUGUGAAUAUUGAGUAUAUAUACUAAUGGGUUUCAAAUCUCACAUUAAAAAGAUACUAUGUUAUCAUUUUAAGUUUUUUAUCCCACAUUGAAAAAACAUAAUUGUUUUCUUGGAAACACAAAGUAUAUAUACCAAUGGGUUUCAAAUCUCACAUUUGAAAAAAAAAACACUGGUUCUCACCCGGGUCGCCCAGGUCACGGGUUGACCCACUAGGUUUGAACGGGUCGUUGCACUGACCGGUCUUUUGACAAACUUGGACCGGUCCAACUCCCGGGUCGGCCGGGUCCCGGGUCAACCGGCAAGGUCAGGCCGGGUUUAAUAACACUGCUCCAGCAUGUGAAACCGAGGAGCCGUGAGGAAUGCGACACUCUUCCAAAUUAUCCCUUAAAAAUUUGGCAUUAAUCUUUAAAAAUAUAUGAUUUCAUCGAUUCAGGAAAAAUUGGACAUUAGUCCCUAAAAUAAAUAAUUUCAUCAAUUUUUGAAAAAUAUGAUAUUAAUUCUUAAAAAUAGGAGAUUUCAUUGAUUUAGAAAAAACAAUUAACAUUAAUCCCUAAAACUAGGUGAUUUUCUCGAGAUAUAUGUGUUUGUGUGUGUGUGUGUGUGUAUAGAACAUUUAUAUAUAUUUUAAUCCAAUAUAAUAUAUACAUAUCUCAAUAUUGAUAUAACACACACACACACACACACACAUACAUGUAUAAUAUUAUUCAUUUUAUCAUUUAUUACAUGUAUACAUAUUUCAAAUAUAUCUAUUACUAUUUUAUUUUUUGUUGAAUAUUAAAUAACAGUAGAACAAUGGUUACCAAUAUAGAUAUACUCGAAAUCUAAUGAAUAAAGUAUGAAUAUCUGAAUUUUUUACUUGAUGAAUAAUAGGUAGGGUAUAUAUAUAAAAAAACUUAACAUGUAGAUAUCCAUUGGGAUUAUACAUAAUUUCAAUAUAUAAAAUCAAUGCAUUAAUUCAUUUAUUUUUCUUUUACAAAGAUAAAAUGAUGAUAAAUGCAAAAUAUAUAUAUGUUUUUAAUUCUUUUACAUUAUGCUUUUAAUGUGUUUUAAUCUUAUUUGAGCUGAUUGAAAGUAAUUUUAUGAGUUUGGCAUGCCUAAAAGACUUGGUGAAUUAAUUGCUAAAAGAUAAAAAAAUUCUGCAUUUUAUGUUUCGAACCUUGGUAUUUCUGACAUCUUUUUCACCAUGUUGGAGUUACAGAAUAGGAACGUGGCUUAAUCAAAGUUGAACUACACAUAUCCAGCUUUCCAGGAAGGUAUUAUGGGAAGAAAUCUGAUCUUAUUUGAACAUCUAAUCAGACCUGCAAAAUCGAGCCAGAAUUCUAUUUGUAGCAGAAUUCUCUGUUUUCACAUUAGAUAUUCAAAUAGAUAUAUCUUGAGUUUCAGAUAUCGCAAUCAGACUAUUCAAAAGCCCAAAUUCAUCUACACAUCCAGGGAUACAACUUUUAUGAAGGACUCCAGAUCUGAUAAAAUUAUUUUCAAGAUGAAAAUCCUGAUGCAAGCUAGAUGACAAGUUUUGUCUCUUGAUCUGAUGAGAAACUAACAAGAUGAGAGUCCUAUCUUUUAAAGAAAAUCUGAUGGGAUCAGAUAGAUAUUCUUUAUAGCUUCUUACCUCCUAGUCUUUAGCCUUGAUAUUUUAUCAUGAAGGCUGCCUCUUAGGAUCAACGUGACAAAGCAACGAGGAAAAAAGCGUUCUUUGCCAAAAAAAAAUUUAAAGAGUUCAUCUUCGCUGCUGGAAUUUUCAAAGACCAUGAGCAACUAAUUCUCAAUUUCGGUUCAAGGGGAAUAGACACCUUCUCCAUUAUCAAGUUGUGAGAAAUAACAUUAUCAUUGUAAUUAUUUCAGACUCAAGUACUUAUUUUUUUUUUUAAGAAUUAUGUUAUUGAUUUAUGUUCAAGAUAAUUGAAUUGUUUUGAGAUGACAUGUAUGAUUUCUAGUUUCUUUCAAUUCAUAAUUGUUGUUGGGGACUAAAGUUAGAAGCAAAAGAAUUAAUUUGAUUGUUGCAACUCUCAUCUUAAAUUAUUUGGAAAGAAUAAGUUAAGUUAAAUUGUCAAGCUUUUGAAGGAUUGUUUAGUAUAAAUCUGACAGCCUUUUCUCUUAAGGCUAUUGUCAAAUGAAUGAGAAUUGCUUUUCAAUAUUACAUUUGUUUGAUAGUAAGAAAUUGAUUAAAAAGCUUUGUCUAAUUAAUUUACUGAUAGUCUCAUCGAUUCCUCGUAGUUUUAAGGAAUAUCGAAUUUAUUUGCUUGAUUUGAAAGAACAUUUAUUUUUACUUUGAUGAUUAAUAAAUUUAUAGGAAUGGAUGUAUGGACCCUUUGAACUGAGUUAAUAACAUAUCAAUUUAUCAAUUUUAUUUUUAGAAUUUUGUUUCUUUAAUUAUUCAAAUCCUCCACGUUUUAUUUAUUUUAGUUUCUUGUAGGAAGAUUAAAUAAAAUUUUCUUUAAAGAUGAAAACAGAAGAUUGGUCAAAAGGAAGGUAUGUUUUUUCAAAGAAGAACAAGGAAAUAAAAUAUUCUCAUUUGACUGUAAUUUUAUUUCAUAUUUUUUUCCUAAAUUGCUAGAUAUACUUAAAAUUUCCGAAUGAGGCUUCUGCGGAUUUUACAUGAACUGGCUAACUACUCCAACUUCAUAUGUAAUAUCUGAUCGUGUCAAGAUUAAGUAGAUAAGACUACCUAGUAUUCGUCAAUACAUAAUUGUAUUGCUUCAAACCUUUUAGCCUAUAUAAAGAUCAUUAUAUGUUUGUAGUAAGUUAUUUGAAUAAAAUUAAAUUAUACAUGUUUUUUUUUACAACUCAUAUACAAUAAAUUAAAACAAAUAUUAUAUAUUGUUAUAUUAAUUUUGGCCCCCCCUAACAAAUAAUCCUAGCUCCGCCCCUGCUUAGUUGUGCAUAAUUUUCCUUGAACCUUUAUCAGGGUAGAGACAGACUUGCGAUUGAGGAUUCCAUAUCUUUAUAGUAAAUCUUUUUGUAUACUGAUGUUGGCUAGAAAUAAAUGACUUUGUUCACUCAACUUCAAGUCCAAGGAAAUGUUUAAGCUCUCCAAGCUCCUUCAUUUGAAAACGGGCUGCUGAAUUUUCUCUUAUUUGACCGAUUUCCUUGGUAUCGUCUCUAGUAACAAUGAGAUCAUCUAUAUAGACCAUUAUUACUGCUAUUUCUCCUCGAUUUUUAACAGACAAGUUUGAAUCUGAUGAAGCCAUUGAGUAGCCAUUUUGUAUUAGAAACUCUUACCAUACCACGUCAUUUUAGCUUGUUUUAACCCACACAGGGCUUUCUUUAGCUUGCAUACUUGUUCAGGAUAAAUUUUCCUUUGAAACCCUUGCGGCUGCUCUAUAUAUAUAUAUAUAUAUAUAUAUAAUAGAGAUAUUAUUGAUGGAAUCAAUUUACCGUUAAGGCUAUCGUAAACUAGAAUUCAAAAUAUUAAGAGAUGUACAAAAAGAAGUAUUGACAAGCUCCUAAACCAAUAACACUUUACUUAUUAGUUCAUGAUAAAAUGUUGUCAGCGCCUCUAAUUAAAUCAUUUUUUGUGUAUGUAAAGUUAAUGUUGCAAGCCUUUAACCAAAGUGUAAGAUGGUGGAGAAUGAGUUGAAACUGUGCAUUCUAAUCUGGCAUCUUAUCCUUAAAUAUGAGCUUGUUCCUUGCAAUCCAAAUACCCCAUAAAAUGCCAUACGAUAGCAUCAUUAAGGCACUUCGCUGAAACUUGCCUUUUGCCAUGUCUCGCCAUUGGCUGAUGAUUUGAUCUAUUCUAUUCAGCAUGCACCUAGAAAUGCCAAACCAAUUAUGAAAUUGUUGCCACAGUCUCCACGUGUGGUAGCAAUGGAGGAAAAGAUGAUUAUCAUGUGUUGGGAAAACUAGGGACAACUAACCGGAUCAAUUCAGCGGAAUACAAUUCACAAUUUACAAGUCCCAAUCCUUUUUCCCUCUCUGUGCAGUAAAAACAGAAUCAAACAAUGAAUAAAUAUAAUGCAACAAUCACACAAAUCAACACCAAGAUUUUUACGUGGAAAACCCGAUACGGGAAAAACCACGGGACCGGAGUCCACCUAAAAACUUCCACUAUCACAAAUAAUGGGUUCACAAUUGUUCUUCCUCAGAUUCAACUAAGGGCUACAACAAAUAUAUCAUCAAGAACAACUUAUUCUCGGAUUACAACAAGAUUAAAGAGAGUAAUGUUAGAGAAAAGCUCACAACACUGACAGCCCCGUUUUCUGUCAAAACGAUCAGCUUUCACACCACCAAUAUUCAAUCCAACCGUUCAGAAUGAAGAGUAACGUGUCUAGAAGCUGCUGUCCAAAUCUCAGCCCGAUCCAACGGUGAACGAACUGGAAAUAAAAGAAAGAAGACAGACUGCUCUGCUGCCUCCUCUUCUUUCUUUCUCUCGGUUUUUCUCUGCUCUCUUGUUCAAAUUUUGCUACUACCUCUACAGUGGUAGUUUCAUUUUAAUUUAAACCAAAGAGGCAGCCAGCUGCCUCCUUAAUUAAUGUGGUGGUCCCCCCAUCACAUGGUGCGGGACCACACAACAAAUCUCCCCCUCACGCACCAUGUGAGGAAUUCGCCAUACUGGCGAUCAACAUGUAAGCUUCAAUUUAGGAGGCUCUGACAAGCCUGCCUCCCUUCUGCAAAACUCAAACUUCUCUCUCGGUAGAGGUUUGGUCAUCAUGUCUGACACGUUGUUAUCAGUAUGGAUCUUCUCAACAACAAAUGACUUCAUCUCCAUAGCAUCUCGAAUCCAUUGAUAUCUAACCUCAAUGUGCUUUGAUCGAGAGUGAAAAGUAGGAUGCUUACUGAGAUGGAUUGCACUUUGACUAUCACAGUGCAACACAAAGUUCUCUUGAACUAGGCCAAGUUCAUGUAGGAACUUCUUCAUCCAUAACAACUCUUUGCCCCCUUCAGUAAAAGCAAUAUAUUCAGCCUCUGUAGUGGAUAAUGCCACACAUUUUUGCAACCUUGAUUGCCAUGAGACUGCUCCCCCUGCAAACUUCAUCAAGUAUCCUGAUGUGGACUUUCUAGAAUCAACAUCACCAGCCAUAUCUGCAUCUGUGUAUCCAUCCAACACAGGUUUAUCAUUACCAAAACAUAAGCUGAAACUAGAAGUACCUUUGAGAUACCUGAGUAUCCAUUUCACUGCUGACCAGUGUUCUUUACCAGGAUUGGAGAGGAACCGACUGACCACACCAACUGCAUGAGCUAUAUCCGGCCUUGUGCAAACCAUGACAUACAUCAAGCUACCAACUACAGAUGCAUAAGGAACCUUUUUCAUCUCAUCUCUUUCUUCAUCACUUGAAGGACACUGCUUAGAACUUAGUUUAAAGUGGCUUGCAAGUGGAGAACAAACCGGUUUGGAUUGCUCAUGUUGAAUCUCUCAAGUACCUUUGGAACAUAUCUCUCCUGAGAUAGCCAAAGUUUCUCCUUCUUCCUGUCACGUGUGAUCUUCAUGCCAAGAAUCUGUUUUGUCGGUCCUAAGUCUUUCAUUGCAAAAGACUUGCUUAACUCUUCCUUCAAAAUCUGAAUCUUCUUAGCAUCAUGGCCAACAAUCAACAUAUCAUCCACAUACAAUAGGAGAAUAAUAAAGUUUCCAUCUGGAAACCUUUUCAUAAAUACACAAUGAUCAGAAGUGGUCCUGUCAUAACCAUGAUCCACCAUAAAAGAAUCAAACUUCUUAUACCACUACCUUGGAGCUUGCUUUAACCCAUAUAGGCUCUUUUUCAACUUGCAAACUAGCUGCUAUUUACCUUUUGCUUCAAACCCUUCAGGCUGUUCCAUGUAGAUCUCUUCAUCUAAAUCACCAUGGAGAAAGGCAGUUUUCACAUCAAGUUGCUCAACUUCAAGAUUCAAACUAGCAGCUAAGCCAAGCACAACUCGGAUUGAAGACAUCUUGACCACUGGUGAAAAGAUUUCUUCAAAAUCAAUACCCUUCUUCUGACCGAAGCCUUUCACAACCAAUCUUGCCUUGUACCUUGGUUGUGAGCAAUGUUUAUCAAUUUUCAACCUGAACACCCAUUUGUUCUUGAGUGCUCUCUUACCUUUAGGAAGCUUCACUAACUCAAAAGUAUGGUUUUCAUGCAAGGAUUUCAUCUCUUCUUGCAUUGCUUGCAACCACUCACUUUUCUUCUCAUGUGACAUGGCUUCAUCAAAGCAUUCUGGCUCUCCCCCAUCAGUAACUUGCACAUACUCAUGAGGAGAAUAUUUGGUGGAAGGUUGGCGAGGUCUGGUUGACCUCCUUAAUUGUGGCUCAUCUGGAGCUUCCUGUAUAACCUGCUCAGGAAUAACAUCAAUAUCAUCAUUAGUUGAUUCAUGAUCACCAACUAAUGGCUCAAUAAGAAAACCACCAUUAUCAUCAUUUUGCAAAUCUCCCCCAUGAUUAGCAAGCAUCAAAGGUAACUGUGGAGUAGGUCUUGGAUUUGAAUUAGAUGGAAUAAAAGUAGUAGACUCUGUUUUCUCCUUCAGUUCAAAGUCUUCAAUGGUUUGAUCUUCAAAGAAGAUAACAUCUCUGCUUCUCACAAUUUUCUUCUCCUUUGGAUCCCACAACCUAUAGCCAAACUCAUCAUCUUCAGAUCCCAAGAAAAUACACUGCUUUGUCUUGCUGUCAAGCUUGGACCUUUCAUCCCUUGGAACAUGUACAAAUGCUCUGCAUCCAAACACUCUCAAGUGUGCAUAGGAAACAUCCUUUCCUUUCCAAACUCUAUCUGGAACAUUAAACUCAAGAGGAACUGAUGGAGAAAGGUUGAUCAUGGCAACUGCAGUCUUCAUUGCCUCACCCCAAAAGGACUUAGGCAGCUUUGCAUGAGAGAGUAUACAUCUAAUUCUUUCAACAAUGGUUCUGUUCAUUCUCUCAGCCACUCCAUUCUGCUGUGGAGUCUUAGGAACUGUCUUCUCCAACUUGAUACCCUGUUCCCUGCAGUACUUAUCAAAAGGACCUCUGUAUUCACCACCAUUGUCUGCUCGAACACAUUUAAGCUUUCUACCAGUUUCUCUUUCAACUCUGGCAUGGAAAUCCUUAAAGACAUCAAGCACCUGAUCUUUGGAUUUCAAACAAGUGGCCCAAAUCUUCCUGGAGUGAUCAUCAAUAAAACUAACAAAGUACAAUGCACCUCCAAGAGACUUAUCAAUCAUAGAGCAAACAUCAGUAUGAACUAAAUCAAGAACAUGUGACCUUCUAUGUGAAGGUGAUCUUUGAAAUGCAACUCUAUGUUGUUUACCAACUAAACAAUGAGUACAUGUGUUCAAGUUCAUACCUUUCAAUGGAAGGUAGUUCUUCUUGGCAAGGAUGCCAAGGCCUUUCUCACUCAAAUGUCCAAGCCGCUUAUGCCAUAGAUCAGUAGAGCAAUCUUCAAUUGCAUUCACCUCCCCUUUGAUCACCUUGGCUUGUGACAUGUAGAGACCCAUCUUCUUCCCUUUAGCAACAAUUAGGGAAUUUCUGGAGAGCUUCCAUUUACCAUCUCCAAAGUAACUAUGAUAGCCUUCUUCAUCAAGAGUACCUGUAGAGAUUAAAUGUAGGCGCAUAUCAGGCACAUGCCUAACAUCUUUGAGUAGCAACUUGCACCCAGUAUUGGUUUCCAACCAAAUAUCUCCAAUGCCCACAACACUAGCCAUCCCUUGAUUUCCCAUCCUAACUUGACCAAAGUCACCAGCAGUGUAGGAUGUGUAAAAAUCACGUCGGGGUGUAACAUGGUAAGAAGUUGCUGAAUCUGCAACCCAGGUGGUAUCUUGACAUGCAAGAUUAACACAGCCAUCAUCACACACAAUGGCAACAUCACCAUCAGAUACAACUGCAGCUGUACCAUUGUCUUCAUUCUUGUCUUCAUCUCUACCCUUUUUAUCUCUUUUAUACUUUCUGCAAUCUUUUUGCAUAUGUCCAGGCUUGUCACAAUAAUAACACUUGAAACCCUUUCUUGACUGAGAUCUUCCUCUUGGCUUCCAUUUGCCUUUUCUAUUGCUGAAUUCUCUAUCUUGCUUGUCAUGAGAGAACCUGCUUUGACUUCUCCCUCGACUUUCUGUAACAAGUGCAUGAGACUCGGAAAUGCUUGUCCCUUUCCUCCUCUUCUCUUCAUUGAGGAUACAAUCCUUCACUGUUUUCAAAGUGUGACCUCCACUACCACUGAGCUGAGAUGUACUCCCUCAUAUCCAGCAAGCAUGAUGAAGAUGUUGUGGACAAGGAAAAUAGGCAUGGAUAAAGAUCUUUUAACAUCCCACCACAUAACCAUUUGUCUGUCUAGAAAUGGAUGUGUCUGCCAUUACCAACCCGAUACCAACAAUUGUUCUUCAAAGCCUCUCCAUGUACAGAGUUUGUGCUGUUGAGAGAAUUUAUGGAUUGCCAUGUUUCUGAAAGAGGUGGAUGAAGAGUUGAUAGGCCAUUAGUGAAGGAAGCUUGAUACUUUUUACUGAUAAGCUCUUGCCAGCCUCCUAGAUUAUUAUCUCGUAGCCUUCAUAGCCAUUUAAAUAGCAACGCCUUGUUCUUGCCUUCUAGUGAACCAAUGUCUAAACCUUCUCUAUUCUUUCCCCUGACCACUAUCUGCCAUGCAACUUUAUAAAUUUUCUGAUCUUUUGAAUCCCCACACCAUAAGAAUCUCCUCUUAAUUGAAGUAAUGACCUUAGCAACUCUCUUUGGCAUAAGAAACAAAGACAUGUGAUAUAAGGGGAGGGUGGAUAACACUAUUUUAAUAAGACACAUUCUUCUUGCCAUACUUAAUAAGCAUCCUUUCAACAGGCAUAGUCUUGUAUGAAUGCUAUUUAUUAUAGGUUUCUAAGUGGAGAGUUAUUUCGGAUUUGCUCCCAAGUAAAGUCCCAUUUGCAAUAUAUUGCAUUUUUCAUUCCUGUCGUAUAUUCAUCAUCUAAAUUGAUUCCAACCAGUGAAUUUUUAUGGAAGUUGACUUUCAGACCUGAAGCCAACUCAAACCACCUCAAAUUCCUUUUAGCGGUUGAUAUCGAAUGGAAGUCGUUAGGACUAAACACUAAGGUAUCAUCUACAUAUUGCAAAUGACUCAAAUGCAUGCCAUUUCCACAAUUAAUUCUUUUACACAAGCCAUAAUUUGAAGCUCUCUUGAACAGAACUGAUAACCCUUCCACAGCUAUGUCAAAAAGAAAAGGCGAUAGUGGGUUGCCUUGACAUAGACCACGGUGGACUCCAAACUCCAUGCUUGGUGAACCAUUAAUAAGAAUUGAUAACUUAAAUCCCAUAAUGCAUUCAUGGAUUAGAGAAAUCAACCUCUGCUCAAAGCCCAUAUACGACAUCAUUUCCUCUAGAUACUCCAUAUUAUAGAAUGUGUGUGUGUGUGUGUGUGUGUAUAUAUAAGAAAUAUUAUGGGCACUAUUCUAGUGUUGUAAUCUCUACCUUUACUAUUAUAAAUUGCCCUACACAUAUAAAUAGAAAAUGAUUGGAUAACUAAUAGGUUAAGCCUCCUACUUCUUCUCAACUCUCCCAAACAACUUAUUCAAAAGCCUUAAGAAAGUCCACUUUCAUAACAAAACCAUGCUGCCCACUUUUCUUAACACUGAGUACAACUCCAUUUUCCAUCAUGAAACCAUCUAAAACCUACCAGAGAUGAAAGUUGUCUGGUUAGCACUAAUAAUGCUAGGCAUAACCUGUCUCAAUCUGUUGGAUAACAAUUUUUCAAUAAUUUUGUACAAGUCAUGCACUAAACUUAUCGGCCUAUACUCUGAAAACUUAGUAGGCAGUUUAGUCUUUGGGACCAAAGCUACAUGAGAGACAUUAACCCCCUUUAGAAAUUUUCCAAGCCUGAAAAAUUCAUGUACAAUGUAAAAAAUAUCAUCCCUAUCAGAUGCCAUGCUAUCUUGUAGAAGGUGAACGUAAACCCGUCAGGUCCUAAAGCUUUGGUCCCAUCACAACUCCAAAUUGCUUGCUUGACCUCUUCGAUAGUUACCUCUUAUUCUAGUUGUUGAACUUGUUAUGUGAAGAGUUUAGUGAACCCAAGUGGUCUCAUUGUAGCUCUAUCAGUAGUGUCAUUAGUGAACAGACUUGAGAAGGAUGACGUUGUCGCCUCCUUAAUGUCUGCUGGAGAGGUAUGUAGUUUAUCAUUAUAUCUGAUUUGAUUAAUAAAGUUUCUGCCUUUUCGAGUCUUAGCUGUCAAGUGGAAGAAUUUUGUGUUUUUACCCCUAAGCUUGCACACCAGGUCUAUCGUGAUUUUUUAUGCCAGAUUGAUUCCACACACUUGCAUCCCACUGCUUGGAUCGUAAUGUUUGUAGCUCAGAAAUUUCAUCAUUGUUAAGUUGUAUAUCCUCUGUUAUGUUCUCAAUGGUCUGGAUUUCAUGCUGAAGAUGUAGCAGUUUUAAGUCUUGAUUGUCGAACUCUUGGUUGUUCUAAAUUCUGAGUUUUGUAGCCAUAAAUGCCAUCUUUUUAACUAAUUGAACUCUCCCAUCAAACUUAAUGUCAUACCUGAACAUCACGGUGAUCGAUCAAAAAUAUUUUCUAAUGAAAAAAAAAAGAACAGAUAUCUAACAUCUUGUUCUUUUGGGGAAAAUGGUCUAGUUUAAGAAGUCGUCACCUAAUAUUAUGAUCACUAUGAACUUUAAUUAGUCAACAAAGAUUUUUUGGUACGGGACUAGUUACGCGAAAGGAAAUAUAUUAUUACGUCUUAAGCGUUCUACUUAAGGUAAGCCGCAUUACUGGUUUUGUUUUAAAUUGCUAAAGGUUUGUUUUUGUUCUGUUCUUAUGGUCUUCCUAUGAUAUUCCUGACUCUGACGUCAAUGAAUAUUCGCCUAUGAAUAUUUUCAACUUUGGUGUUGGUAAAUAUUGCGUAACCCAAAAAAUACGGUAUUCUUGACUCUAACACCAGUAAAUAAAUUCACAAAAUUCUGCAUUAAAAGAAACAGAAAUUAUUUUUUUUCUUUUUUAUCAUUUUUUUUGUUAUUUAUGUAGCCUGGUCUCAAAACUUAAAAAGGGGUCGGGUCACUGGUCCAAACCAGUGACCCGGCUGGCCACUGUUGCAUGCAUGUGUGAAUGGUUCACGCAUGCAUGCAACAGUAACCAGUUAAUUAUUUUAGCAAGCAAGGAAGGAAACUUACUUGGGCGUGCUGCUGCUGGAGCCGAAGUCAAGGGAGACGGUUGGGCGCUGCUCACGAUUGUCAAUCCAACAUGCUGCUCAUGAUGAAGUUGGGGUGUUGUCACGGAGGAGAUCUUCCAAACUGUUGCGGCACUUGAAGAUGAAGAUGACGAUGAUGGAGGGCUGGCCUACUGAAACCAUCUUCUUCUCCUCUGUUUUCCUUUCGUUCUUCCCUUGGUCUUCUUUCUGUGCUCUCCUUGUCUGUACUGUGCUCGUCCGUUUUCCUUCUCUCUCACUGGUUCUUUUUAUGCUUGUGCUGAGGACGUACGGAUGUCUACAACCGUGGCUGAAGAGAAACAACUGUUGUUGCUCACGGUGGUUGCUGCUCAAGUCACUGAAAUUCGUGUUGCCACUACUGAGAAGAGAAGGCUGCUGCUGGAAAUGCAAGGGUGUAGCUGAUGCUGAUGGCUGUUGUUUUAGGCGAGGAGGAAAGGAAAGACAGUAACUACUAGAAAAUUGAUAAAUACAAACAAAAAUUUUGAGGGAAUAACAGUGGGGAAAAAAAUUAAAACAAAGAAAAAAAAAUGAUGACGUGUUAUUUUUACUAACGGAAUUACCAAUGGAAUAAAUCUCGUCGGUAAAUUUUGUUGGUAAAAUCGUUGGUAAACUGUAAACACUAUUCAUCAUGUCAAUUACAAAGGGAAUCAUCGACGGAAACUUCCAUCGGUGGUAUUUUACAGGAGAGCUCUAGAACUAUUCACUUCCCAAUUGCACUGUUAAAUAUUAUUCUUUACAGACAAAAUCACCGACGGAUUGAAAAGUUAUCGGUGUUAUAUGACGGUUUUCUAAAAAAUCUAGCUUAAAUUAAAUAUUACCAGACGGAUUUUUUUUUAAUUGGUAUACUUUAUGAAUUUUGUUUCUCUCUUAUUAUCUUCACUUGCAACUACAUUAAGGUAAAAAACAAUUUCUUCUUUUUUCGUGUUUUUUUCACAAUAUUUGUUUUUUAUUUUAUUUUAAUUGUUUUUGUUCGUAAUAAUUGUUUGAAUAUUAUUGUAGGAUUUCUUUUUUCAUAUGAGAUCAAUUUUCAGUUGAUUUAUUUAUAGGAUUUUUAAAAAAAAAUUCAUAUGAAUUUUUUUAGUUGAAUUUAUUUGUUUGUGUUGUUUAUUUGUUGCAAAUUUGUUUGAGUUGAUUUUCUUCUUUUUUUCCAAGCAUUUUGAGUAUUAUAGAGUUUUGAUUAAUAUUAAUUUAAUUAUUUUAUAGUUUUGUAAAAUAAAUUUUUAAAAAAUAUUUUUAAAUAAUUACCGACGGAAUUAUAUACAGUAUUUUUCCGAGGGAAUUACCGACGGAAUGAAGUGGGUAAAAAUUUUUUUGCUUGUUUUUUCCAUCAGUAAAUCCAUCGGUAAUAAUAUUUUUUUAUUACCAACGGACUUACCGACAAACAAAAAAUUACUGACGGAGCAUUUCCGUCGGUGAUUUUGUUGGUAAAUUAAUUACCAACGGAAUAGUAGUGCAAAUACCGACGGAAAAUUUCAUCAAUAAAUUUAAAGAUUGUUUUAGUGGGUCCCCUCUGAUGUUGCUAUUGGCUUGCAUUUAAUUUAUCCCGGUUGCUGGAGUUGUUGAUGACGUUGUUGCUAAUCUUGACUGCAACCAACAUUGGGGAUGGAGCUCACAGUUGGAGGCAACGCUAUUGAUGGCUGAGGAUGGAGUCCUGCUGUUGUCAACAUGAACUAGCUUUACUGCCGUAUUUCUCAUAAAGGGGAGCCAACCUUGAGGGAUAGGGAUGAUGCUGUUGCUGUGGCGCAGAGAAGAAGUUCCUGCUGGACUGGAGGGAAAGAGGAGACGAAGGCCUCUCCUGCAACACCGGAUGAAAGCCUAUAUGGUGGCUAGUAUAGGGUUCGCCGCUACCUCUUCUCUUUCUUUUUUAUGUUUCUCUCUUUAAGGGUUUCUGAUAAUAGCCUCUCAUUAAGUUUGAAUUUGAUUAACAAUCAAAUUUGAAAACGAAUAAUUAACUUUAUCUUGAAGAUAAGAAUAAAAUAACAAAAACAUAUUGUAGUAUCUAAUUUUCAUAUAAAAGUUGAUAAAAAUUUUUUAUUAAAAUAUCUUUGAUAUUUUAAUUUUACCUUUUAAACCCUAUAAAAUUAAAUAAAAAACCAACAUGUCAAAGUUUCUCCAUGAAUAGAGGUUGGGAUACCCAGCAACUUAGAAAACGAAAUGGCUCCCAUCCCCACGUUUGGCAUUGCUGUCCUAAAAUAAUUGGACAGUGGUCAGACAACCCUCGUGGCAAACGACUCAUGAGAAGAAGGCCUGAGAAUUUUAAAUGGCAGUCUGGAGUGGCAAAGGCUCUAUCAAUUCUACUCAUUGAGGUGGCAUGAAAUCGUGUGUAUCGGUGGCCACUGAGGGAAUACUCCAAAAGGUUAGAGCUUGAGAUGAAACGUUUGAAAUCUGCAGACCCAAUUGCAUUCGAAAACCCACUAUUCCUUUCAUAUUGAUGCAAAGUUUCAUUGAAGUCCCCAACAAUGAACAUAGGUGUGCAAAUGCAGCUUGUAAGAUAAGAAGAUAAUCCCACAGUUCACGCCUCUCAUGUACUGUGGUUCCGGCGUAGACUCCUAUUAUUGCACAAUUAAAUUGCUUCUCCACGUGUUAGACCAAGAAGCGCUACCCAUUGCCCACCAUAUUCGAUUGACUAUCUAGAGCCUUCCGUGAAAUUGCAGGAAUGCAUUAUUUACAUCCAUUUACCAUAGCUUCUACGGAUUUUUAGCUGUUAAUGCAAUUAAUAUUCUCACAAUAGUUAUUUUUGCUACUAAACUGAAUAUUUCAUCAUAAUCUAAUCCAUACUGCAAGAACCCUCGAGCUACCGAACUUGCCUUAUAUAUUUUGAUCGAUCCAUCUGGACAUGUCUUCACCUUGUAACCCAUUUAUAAGAUAUGUGCUUCACGUCUAUAUAGGCUUCGACACUAAGUCUCAUGUCCGAUUUUCCAUUAGAGCAUGGAUCUCCUCAUCCAUUUCUUUCUUUCAUUCACUACUCUGUGAUACUUCUUCUUAAGUCAUAGGCUCUAUAACCUAAGCUUUCAAAGCUAAUGUUAUGUUAGCAUAUUUUGGAUUUAGUUUCCGUUGUCUCCUUGACCUUUUCACUUAUGACUGAUGUGUACCUUGUUCUUAAACUUUUGCUAUCUUGGUUACUCUUCUUUCGAAGAUAUUUGAUGAACACUAGUUUUCCAGGGGCUUGCUCGCAUUAUAGGAUUUUCUUGAUCAUCAAAUGUUGUAGACUCCUCCAUUUUUCAAGGUAUUUGUUACAUAUUUUAAGAUAUGAUUUAUAUUAUUUUCUAACACACCCCUUCAAGUGAAAGCCAUUUGAGCUUGAAACUUGCACAUGUUCACACCACAUUAUGCUUGAUUUUUAUCAAAUAAAUGGAGAUGAUGAGAUUUGAACUCGUGAUCACUUGGUCAUCAAGGCUCUGAUACCAUAUCAAAAAACCAAUUCAACCCAAUAGCUUAAACUGUUAGGUAAAGUUUCAAAUAUGAUUUAUAUUAUUCUCUAACACACCUUCACCUUUUCUAUUGGCCACUAGGAAGUUGCUUCAUCAAACAUGACCUUCCUCGCAGUGGUGGAGCCAAGAUUUUUUAAAUAAGAGAGCAAAUUACUAGCAAAUAUUUGAUAUUAUAUGCUAUACAAACAUGUGUUAUAUAAAGAAAUUAAUUUGAAAUAUAUGUACCAACUCAAGUCAAGUAAAAUUAAUUUAAGAAUACUUUUAAAAUAAAAAAACUUUAUAAUUGUUCUCUUCGAGAUUUUAUAUUUUAAACUGCUUUAUAAUGAUUUUAUUUUUAAUUUUUAUUUUUAAUCUCAUUAAAAAUAUCUUUCUCAAUAUAUACAAUAAACUUUCAUUUAUCUAUUUCUAAAUCUUCUAAAGACUAGGAAAGUUCUUGGCAACAAUUCUAUGUUGACAUAUAGUACAUAACAUCUAAAAUCAUAGCUUAAAAAGAUUGUCACAAAUUGAUGUUGUUCUUGCUAACUUAUUGUUUUAUACAAAUGGAUUAAACAUAAAUAUUAAAUGUUUUAUUUUUAAUUUAUAUAUUAUGAUAAUUUUUUGAAUUGUCUUGUAUUUUAUUUUUAAUCACUAGUAAAUUCAUCAUCAUCAUUUUUCAUAUGAAAUUCAUAGCAAAAUACUUAUCAAUUCAUCAAAACUCAUUUCAAUUCAUAUCUAUUAACAUAUAAUAUUACCCAUACACGUAUUAAUUCAACAAACCCAUAAAUUAUUAUAAACCCCAACAUUUUCAAUAACUAAUUAUAAAGAAAUAAAACUAAAAUUAGAUAAUGAAACAAAUAGAAAAAAUGAAGGAAAUAAAUUAGAUAAUGAAACAAAUAGAAAAAAUGAAGGAAAUUUUCCUUAAAUAUAAGAGGUUUGAAGAAAAAUUUUGUAGAAGAGAGAAAGACAUGGACAAUAAUGAAAAAAGAAAAAGAGUUUGGAUUAAUUAGUAGCUAAUAAAAAAAAUUAACCCUGUAAAGCUAUAAUAUUAAUAUUUUAAUAUAAAAAGAUACUUUAAAAAAAAAGAGAUUAAAGGGGCAAUUGCCCUCUCUUGAUCUAUUGUGGCCACUACACUACAAGAUUUAACAGUUUUACCAACGGAAUUUUUCCGUCGGCGUAAGACACAUAUUCCGUCGGUAAUUAAUUUUCCGACGGAAUCACAGACGGAAAUGCUCCGUCGGUGAAUCUUUCGUCGGUAAUUAUUUUUUCGUCGGUAAAUCUGUUGGUAAUAAAAAAAUAAAUUUAUCCGCUUCAUUUCGUCGGUAUAUCCCUCGGUAAUAAUAUUUUUUUAUUACCAACGGAUUUACCGAUGGAAUUGCCGUCGGUAAUUCCAUCGGUAAUUAUUUAAAAACAUUUAAAAAAAUUCAUUUUAUAAAAUUAUAAAAUAAUUAAAUUAGCAUAAAUUAACACUGUAUAAUAUAUACUCAAAAUGCUUGGAAAAAGAAUAAGAAAAUCAACUCAAACAAAUUUGCAACAAAUAAAUAAAAUGAAAAAAUAAAUUCAACUAAAAAAUUCAUAUGAAAAAAAUAAAGAUGCAAUUGCUAAAAAUUUAAAAAUCCUAUAAAUAAAUUAACUAAAAAUUGAUCUCAUAUGAAGAAAAAAUCUCACAACAACAUUUAUACAAUUAUUAAGAACAAAAACAAUUAAAAAUAAAAUAAAAAACAAAUAUAGUGAAAAAAAUCAUGAAAAAAGAAGAAAAAAAAUCUUACCUUAAUGUAGUUGCAAGUGAAGCUAAGGAGAGAAAAAAAUAUUUCGUUAAGCAUAUUAAUUAAAAAAAAACUAAGAGGAUAAAAGAAGAAAGAAGAAGAAGACAUACCCAAGCAUGAAGGAAAAGAGAAGGAGAUGAGGAGAGAAAAGAAGAGAAAGAAAUAUAUAUUGAUGUUUUUUACAUAUAGCGAAGAAGAAGAAGAAGAAGAAGAAGAAGAAGUAGAAGAACAAGAAGAAGAAAUGAGUCUGUCUCUUGUGAAAUAAGGGGAUUCAUGCUUUUUAUUGGGGCGCGUUACCGACGGAUUUACCGACGGAUAAUUGAAUAUUAAUAUUUUUUAAUUAUUCCGUUGGUAAUUCCAUCGGUAAUAUUUAAUUUAAAUUUUCAAUUUCAUAAAAAUUUUUCAGAAACCGCCAACAAUUACCGACGGUUUUUCAAUCCGUCGGUGAUUCCGUCUGUAAUAUUUAAAUGAAAAUUUUAAAUUAAUUGAAUUUUUUCAGAAAACCGCCAAAUAACACUCUCUGGAAAAUACCGACGGAAAAUUCCGUCAGUGAUUCCCUUUGUAAUUGAGAUGAUGAACAGUGUUCACAGUUUACCGACGGAAUUACCAAGGGAAUUUACCGACGGAAAAUUCCGUCGGUAUUUCCGUCGGUAAUUCCGUUGGUAAAAAUGACACGUCAUCUUUUUUUUUUUGCUUUGUUUUAAAUUUUUUUCCCACGGUAAUUCCGUCGGUAUAUACCGAGGGAAUAUUUCCGUCGGUAAAAUCCCUCGGAAAUUUACCGAUGAAAAUAUUCCCUCGGUAUUUCUGUUUGUAUUUAUCAAUUUUCUGGUAGUGGGCUCCGUCACUGCUUUCUCGAUACCAUACAUUUUAUUGGUACUGGGAUUGCAACAUUUCCAUGCUUUUCGUUGCUCAUUUUAAACCCAAGAAUAUGCAAUGAAUCACUUUCUUAUCUAAUUUUCUUCGAAGAAUAUCGGGCAUGAACACAUAUCAUACAUAUCCAAACACUCUAAAGUAACACAUCUUUGCCCUUAUGCUCGUAACUUUUCACAUGAUGUGGUGAAUCUAAGAUUUGCUUAGGUAAGCCUAUUGAUAACAUGUGUAGCUGCCUUCAUGCACUCACCUUAGAAUCUCCUUGGAACAUUCUUGACAUGUAGCAUACGUCUACAAGUUUUCGCUAAGUGCCUAUUCUUUCUCCCCGCUACUCUAUUUUGAUGGGGCCCUGCUGGACAAGUAAGUUGUCGACAAAUACUGCAUACUCUUAGAUAGUUAUUGAGUUCUUCACAAGUGUCACGUUAUCUGUACUAAGUAUUAUAGAAUGUGUUAGAAUAGGAAAUAUUGUAUUAUUAAUGUAUUGACUUAUCGUAUAUAGCAUACUAUACUGUAAUAGAUGUACUGUUUUAAUUAUAUAAAUAGCAGAGGUGGUUAUCUCAUUAGCUCAAGCCUCUCAAUUAUCACAAACUUUGUUGCAACUUGAUAUCAGAGCCAAUUUAUCUUCACAUAUUUAUUCUUCAAACAGCAGCCCCUCUACUACUUCUCUGCAACAAAAUCAUCUCCUCUGUUUGUUGUCUAUUUCUACUCCUCCAUCAGCUAAUUAUUCUUCAAACGACAGCCCCUCUAAUUAUUUUUUAUUACUACUGCUUCAAACAAAAUCCAUUAGCAACGAUAUUGCUUCUCUGCAACGCUGACUUUCUGCCUCAUGAUCAGCGUGUUAAUUACUUGCUUCAUUGUGCUAUUGUUUUUUCUGUUAAUUACUGCAUUGUUGUUACGAUGUCGCGGUCACACAAAUUAAUUACCCUAACUUAAAAUACAACACACAAGAUAAUAUAGAGCAAAUAAGGGGUCGAUCCCACGAGGAAAGUUCGAGUCAGAUUUUUAUGCUGUAUGAUAUGCAACUGGGGGGUUGUGAAGUUAUCUAGGUUAAAGCAAAAGAAAACAAAAAAAUACCAAGCAAAAUUAAAUAAAAUCAGAAAAUAAUCAAUAGAACAAACCUUGGUCACAAGUAAACGUCCACCUACAGAAAUCAGAACUGAUCAUGGAAACAAAACAUCAAUUUAUAUUCCGAAUAUUUAUCUCUUCUUAACAUUGGUUAGUUAAUGGAUCCGCUAUAUAACUAACCCUAGUCAUCAAACAACCACAGUGUCCGCACUAGUAAUUUAAUUAAAUGGCAGCCUUAAGAACUAGAUAAGUUAAUUAAUCAAGAAAAAAUAACUAUCUGCAGUCUAUGUUUGAUUUGAUUGAAUAUUCUCCUUAAGAUUAAUAACAUAGAUCCAUCACAAUUAUUAAACUCAGUUGCUUCACAAGUUCAUAUACCACAACUCCGGUUUUGAUAUCAAACUUAGCAAUAAAUUGUCUACAAUAAUAACUUAGAGUCCGCUCUAGCAAUUAAAAUAAACAAUCAUAGAAAAAAUAAGCGUAGGAGAACAAACAUAUUCAUCAUAUAAACUGGAAAGAAAAGGUAAAAUAAAUCUCACAGUUCUUGAAAUCCGAAGGUUUUUGUGUUCUUGCAACCAAGAAAAAGAGUUUAGCCUUGCAUGUUUGUUGAAAAACUAAUCAAAAAGAAGGAGGAAUGCAUGAUUUCGGGUUUCUUAGAGGAAAGGGGUGUUUUUCUCUUCUUUCCAGCCUGCCUCUCUUCUCUUCUCUCAUUCUUUUUAUAUCCUAAGAAACCUAGUCUCUAUUUUACAAAAUAGUCCUCCCUUAAGUAGAUAGUUUACAUUUAAGUACUUCAAUAACUAUUUUCCUAAAAAAAAGAAAUAUCCUUGCAUGAAAUCUUCAAUCUUUGACUUAGAGGAGCUAAAUUGGUGAAACAAAAACUUGAAUGUCGGUUUAAAUGCCCCUUAACGUAAUUUGGACUCGUUUCUUCACGAAACUUGUUUGCUGGCAGAAUUAAGUUGUGAUCUUUGAAAAAUCAUAUCUCCCUCAUAUGACAUUGUUUUUUGAUGAAAGUUGGAGUGUUGAUAUUUAUUUGAGUCCAGAAUCCAAAAACAUUGAGUUUGCAUCAAUUGGAUUUUUGUAACUCAAGAUAUUCAAGUUGGAAUGGCUGAAGGUCAAUACCAGCAGAUUGCAAGAUUUGACUUUGAAGGUUGCAAUUUCCAUAUUCUUCCUUAUUUUAUUUUCUUGGCUUAGAUUUCCAGAAAGGUAUGGAUGUUAGCUUUUUAUUCCACUGGAAUCACUUCAUUUUGACCUCUAGAACUCACACUCUGCACAAAACAUCUAUUGAAGGUCAAAUCUGCCAAUUACCUUUAAUUUACUCAUUUUUACAUCUUUCAUCCAAAAGUGCCUUCAAAACAUAAAACAAAAAAUAUUAAGGCAUUUUAUAUAAAACAAAACAUAAGCAAAACACUAUGUAAAUGUGUGUUGUUAUCCAUUUUUGGGUUCCCGCACAAAAAAUAAAAAAAAUACAUAUUAGAAAAUAUAUUCGGAAGGAAUCCAAAAAAAUAAUAUGAGUGAGAAAAGGAUGUUGGAACACCCAUAAAAUGUCUAGAAAUUGGUUGAGGAGGUUCAAAAAUACAAGAAUUGAAAUUUGACAAUAUAUUUUCAAGUGGUGAGAGCCUUGUUUACAAGGAAAAUUUAAUUUUUGAGGAAGAAAAGUCCAAAAUCAGAUGUUUAUGGACUUAAUUAAAUUUUAUCUAAGGUUUAAUUGAAUUUAUGGAGGGUUUGGUUACAAGAAAUAUUGAUUUUUAAGUCAAUUUAAGCUUUUAUUGGAAGAAAUUAAAGUUCUGAGAGCCAAUUAUAAUUUUAAAGAGUUGAUUUGGUCAAAUUAGGGGCUUAAUUGCAUAAUUAUUGAAGUUUGAUGGCCAAUUAGGGACUUAAUUGAAACAAUCCAAAACCAAUUACCAAACUGGAAAAGGCGCUCAAAUCAAGGGAUCCAAUUACAAUUUUUCUGGGGUCUUGAUUAUAAACUUGCAAAAACAUCCAAGGACCAAAUCAGAAAUAUCAUUUAAAGUUGCAAAACGGUGUCGUUUCACUGAACACUGCUCACUGUCGUUACGUGCAGCUGGCCGAGAGACGUUGCAGCAGCGAAGGCGUUGAUUUGCUUCAAUCAAUGGGGCAUGUUUCAUGGCUGAUAUCUCUCGCCACCAUGAUGCACGCCGGCCGUUACUCUGUCCCUGCAACAACAAAUGAAAACGCCUGCAUCCUCUGGCUAUAAAAGCUAGAGGAUGUACUGAACAGAAGGAGAAAAAAAAAGGAACGAGACAGAGGAAAGAAAAAACAGAGGGAGAGGGGAACGUAAAGAAGAGAAAACAGAGGGAGGAAGAGCGUAAGAAACUAAAAAAAAGCAGUAAGAGAAGAAAGCAGAGAGAGGAGAAUAGAGGAGAGCAAACAGGAAAAGAAAGAAAAAGAGAAAGAGAGAGAGAGAGGAGAGUGAACGAAAAAAAAAACAGAGGAACACAUUAGCAACCUAAAGCAGAGAACGCAGAUAGCAAAAGAGGUCAGCACCAUCAUCGUCUUCAUCUCUCCAGCACCAGGUAUGUUCACUUCCCUCCUCAGUCCCUGUAAUAAAAAGCGUCAUAGUAACUCUGCGCCAACGUUUCUGGUUUUCAUCAAGCAUCACUUCUUCUUUCUUUUCACAUAAUUUCCAACCAUAAUUCCAUGAUAUAUCACAAGUAUAUGCUCUACUAAUCCUUGGCCAGGGUAAAAGAGAAAAACAUAUAAAAAGUUAAGGCUUAUACAUGGAUAAAGCAAAGAAAAGAUAAACAAGCUCAAAAGGGCUCACUAAGGAUAAUAUGUUUUAGGUUGGCUUUUUGGCUCAAGUGAUUGAAAUUCCUAAUGCCUUUGUCAUCUUCAUAUAUAUAUGUAAUGCGAAUGUAAUCUCAACAAGAUAUGAAGCAAGUUCUAGAGAUACAUAUCAUUGAAAGAAUGCACAAUCAAAGAAUAUAAUGUUGAAGGCUCAAAAGCUUGCAUUGGUAUAACAGUAUAAAGUCAACAUGACAUAUUUUCAAAGUCAAUCCUUAAACCAAUUACACAUUAAAACUUGCAUGCACACUCAUUCAUUAGAUUUAUAUCUUUAUCUAUCUCAAUUAAUUCUCAUGCAUAAUACUCAUAUUCUCAUAAACCAAUGGGAGUUCAAAAAAAUCAAACAUAGAAUUUUUUUUUUUUGAAAAAUAACAAAGAAAACCAAAAUUCCCUUAAUACCCCCACACUUUAAACACAACAUUGUCUUCAAUCUUGAAAUAAAAGAAAAGGAAUAUAGGAGAAUGACAAAAAUAAAGUAAAAUGUGAAAAAUAAAAGAUAAGGGAAAAAGAAAGCAAAUAUGAUUUUUUUUUCUUUUUGUGAUGGGUUGCCUCCCAGUAAGCGUUUUUGUUUUAUAUCAUUGGCUCAACAUGUGGCAUACUUAUUCUUCAUAGAUUGGUUUUGCUAAAUCCACAGAAGCGGUGAGUUCUGUCGUCCAACCUUCAAAGAAAGGUUUCAAGCGAUGCUCAUUGACCUUAAACACUUUGUUUGUUUCUAAACUUGUAAUUUCAAUUGCACCAUAAGGAAAAAUAUUAGAAACAACAAAGGGUCCAAUCCAACGAGAGCGCAACUUUCCAGGAAAAAGUUCCAAACACGAAUGAUAAAGAAGGACUUUGUCUCCAACAUUAAACUCUUUUCUUUGCAAAUCCUUGCAUUCUUAAGCAUCAUUUCAAAUCUCUUCUAACUCUUGUAAUAGCAACUUUCUUGCAAUCCCAGCAGCAUCAUAAUCCAUGUUACAUUUUUUAAUGGCCCAAAAAGCUUUGUGUUCAAGCUCCACCGGUAGAUGACAUGUUUUCCCGUAAAUCAUCCUAUAAGGUGACAUUCCUAUAGGUGAUUUGUAAGCAGUCCGAUAAGCCCAAAGUGCAUUACCAAGUCGUAGACUCCAAUCUCACCGGUUAGGUUGCACUAUCUUCUCCAAAAUGGAUUUGAUUUCUCAAUUUGAAAUUUCAGCUUGGCCAUUCAUUUGAGGAUGGUAUGUUGUGGAAGUUCAAUGAGUCACAUGUAUUUGUGUAACAAUGUUUCCAUUUAACGAUUGCAAAAAUGAGUGCCAUGAUCACUAAUGAUAGCUUUAGGGAUUCCAAACCUAUCAAAUAUGUGAGUCCUGACAAAAUCUAAAACAACCUUAGCAUUGUUAGUUCAUGUGGCUUUCGCCUCAAGAAGGAUAUAAAGAUUGCCUAAAGAAGAAGGAAAUGGACCCAUAAAAUCAAUACCUCAAACAUAAAAAAUUUCACUUACAAGAAUAUUCGUUAAAGGCAUUUGAUUCUUAUGAGUGAUAUUACCUGUUCUUCGGCAUUUUUCACAUGAUUUUCAAAAAUAAUAUGCAUCCUUAAAAAUAGAAGGCCAAUAAAAACCACUUUCAAGUACCUUAUGGAUCGUUUUUUUUUCUCCAAAAUGCCCACCACAAGAAUGAGAAUGACAAAAAGUGAGAAUGGAAUGAAAUUCAUCCUGUGGUACACAUCUCCUAACUAUUUGAUCCACACAAAAUUUUCACAAAUAGGGGGUAUCCCAAAAAUAAUAUUUAGCAUCAGCUAGUAACUUGUUUUUUUAGGAUGUAGACAAACCUGAAGGGAAUUCUUUGGUGACUAAAUAGUUCACCAAAUUAGCAUACCAUGGUCUUGUAGAGGAAUAUAACACAUACAACUGCUCAUCGGGGAAUGUCUCUCUUAUUGUUUUGGUUUGUAUAUCCUCGGUCCUUAGUCGACUCAAGUGAUCAGCCUCUUGGUUUUCAACACCUUUUUUUUCUUUGAUCUCAAGAUCAAUUUCUUGUAAAAGCAAGAUCCACUUAAUCAAUCUUGGUUUGGACUCCUUUUUCUUCAAAAGAUACCUCAAAGCUACAUAGUCAGUAAAAACGACUUUUAUACCAAGUAAAUAUGACAUGAAUUUUUCUAGAGCAAAUAUCAUUGCAAAAAGUUCCUUUUCAGUUGUAUGGUAAUUGCAUUGCGCUCCGUCCAACAUGUGGGAAGCAUAGGCUAAACAUGCAAAUUCUUACCAAUUCUUUGCCCAAUUACAACCCCUAUCGCAGAGUCAAUCGCAUCACACAUUAUCUUGAAAGGCUCAUCCUAGUUUGGUGGUUGCAUGAUAGGGGUAGAUGUGACAUGCCUCUUGAGCUCAUCAUGGACAUCUUUACAUGCUUGAUAAAACACAAAAUCCACUUCUUUCACUAAUAGUUUGCACAAGGGUGUUGUGAUCUUCAAGAAAUCUUUGAUAAAGCGUCGAUAGAAACCUGUAUGGCUCAGAAAAGAACGAACUUCCCUCACGCAUGAGGGGUAAGGAAAUAAUGAAAUAAUGUCUAUUUUAGCUUUAUCAACCUCUAAUCUACAUGAAGACACAACAUGUCCAAGAACUAUUCCUUGUUCUACCAUAAAAUAACACUUUUCAAAAUUCAAGACAAGGUUAGUUUCAAUGCACCUUUUCAAAAUUAAAGAUAAAUUUUCUAGACAUUUAUCAAAAGUGUCGCACCCGACAUCGCGGCGGCCUUAAAAAUUAUUAAAUCUUUGGAAAGAACGGAUUUCUGGCAUCCUGUUCUUUAAUGCGGAAUGGUCUUGUUUAAGGAGUCGCCACCUAGUAUUAUGGUCACUAGGAACCCUAACUGGUCAACAGAGAUUCUAUGGUUCGGGACUGCUACGUAAAAGGAAAGAUAUUAUCACUCCUUAAAUGUUCUGCCUGAGGCAGGCUGCAUUGCUAGUUUUGUCUUAAAUUGCUAAAUAUUUAUUGGUUUAUGCUCUGAUGGUUUACUUGCAAUAUUCCUGACUCUGGCGCCAGUGAAUAUUUAACUACGAAUAUUUCCAACUCUGGCGUUGGUAAAUAUUACGUAGGUACCAAAAUAAAUAAAUUUAAAUCAUCAUUUUCCUUUUUUAUUCCUGACUCUGGCGUCAAUAAAUAAACAAAUAAAAAUCAAUUUAUUUUUAUACAUACGCAUUUUUAUUUUUAUGUAGCUAAAUAAAAGCAAAAUACAAAUAAAAAAUUAAAUAUAGUUGACAAUGGGGUUAAGACAAAAAGAAUCACCAUACACUGUGAAAUCAUCCAUGAAAACUUCAAUUAUUCUUUAAACAUAGUCAGAAAAAAUACUCAUCAUGCAUCUUUGAAAAGUUGCAGGUGCAUUACAGAGACCAAAUGACAUUCUCCUAUAUGCAUAUGUACCAAAUGGACAUGUAAAUGUAGUCUUUUCUUGAUGUUCAGGAUUAAUAACAAUCUGAUUAUAUCCAUUAUAUCUAUCAAGAAAGCAAUAAAAAGACUUACCUGUCAGGCGUUCAAGCAUUUGGUCCAUGAAUGGUAAUGAGAAAUGAUCUUUGCGUGUAGAGAGAUUAAGCUUUCUAUAAUCAACACACAUUCUCCAUCCACUCAAGAUGCGAGUAGUAAUGAGUUCCUCAUUUUUGUUCUUUAACAACGUGAUCCUGAUCUUUUUGAGCACCACAUGGAUAGGCACCACCCAUUUACUGUCCAUGAUGGGGUAAAUGACUCCUGCAUCUAAUAGUUUCAAAAUCUCAGCUUUCACUACCUCCAUCAUAGGCGGAUUCAACCUCCUUUGCAUUUCCCUCAUUGGUUUUGCAUUGUCCUCCAAUAAUAUGUGAUGCAUACACAUGGAGGGACUAAUGCCUUUGAUGUCGGCUAAAGUCCAUCCAAUUGCCGUCUUGUGAUCACACAACAACUUCAUAAUUUUUUCCUCUUGCGCCCUUGUCAAAUCUUUUGCUAUGAUAACGGGAAGUGUGUUGUUGUCGCCAAUGAAUACAUACUUCAAAUUAUCGGGCAAAGGUUUUAAUUCUAACUCAGGGGCCUGUAAAAUAGAUGGCAAAAGCUUUUUAUGUGAAAGUACUAAAUCAACAAAGACAUUACCAUAAGGAAUGGUUUGCAAAGCUUGCAAAGCCAAUGCUGAUUCGUGCAUGUUUUGGGGAACACAUGUGCCUCUCUAUCUCUUUUAUCUUGGUAAAAUCAUAGCCAUAACUCAAAGUCAUGCUUAAUUCGUUCUCACGGUCAUAAUAAAAAACUUGUCGCACACACUUAUCAACUUGGUCAUAGCAUGUGAUAGAAUAAACAUUGUUGUAUGGAUAUUUCAUUGCAUCAUGAAAAUUAAAUUCAAUUUCUUCAUCUCCUACCUCCAUAGACAAAGUAUCCUAACCACAAUCAAUCUUUGUAUUGGCAGUUUUCAAGAAUGGUCUCCCAAACAAUAUAAGAGUGUUGUUUGAUGAAUCACAAGAGUCCUGUUCCAUAUCAAGAAUAUAAAAGUCGCAUGGAGUAACCAAACUAUCAAUCUUGACUAGAACAUCUUCUAUCACACUAAGUGGAUAAACAAAACUAUGAUCCGCAAGUUGUAUUACAAUACUAGAUUUAUUUGAGCUCCAAACUAAGAGAAUCAUAAACAUGUUUAGGCAUAACACUAAUGGAUGCACCUAAAUCGCAUAAAGCCCUUUUAAAACUAGCAUUACCAAUAACACAUGGGAUAGUAAAUACACUUAGGUCUUUUUGCUUCAAAGGCAUAUUCUUUUGAAGAACAGCAGAUACAACUUCACCCAUACUUACUAUUUCAUGACCUUUCAGUUUGAAAGCUCUCUUGGUAGUACACAACUCCUUCAAAAAUUUGGCAUACUUGGGAAUUUGCUUGAUAGCAUCAAGUAAAGGAAUGUUGAGUUCUACUUUCUUGAAAACCUCUAAAUUAUCUUUUUCUUUGUCCUCUUUCUUUGACCUAGAAGAACUCACAGAAAAGGAUGGAAUUGUUUUAAAACUAGAAUUCAUUGACUGACGAGUUACCUUUGGAGUGUUGGUCGUUGUUUCAUUUUGUGGAGGAGAAGGGUGUUUCUUCUUUGUACUCAAUUUGGUUUCUAUCUCUUCUUCUUCCUCCAUCUCAAUUUGUUUCAACCUUUGCCUUUCAAGUUCUUUCCCACUUCACAGCAUGAUUGCACUAACAUUCUCUUUUGAAUUCAAUGCUUGGGAAGGCAAUUUUCCAUUCAUUUGUGCUUCCAAUUUCCCCACACUUGAAGCUAUUUGCUCCAUUUGCUUCUCCAAAUUAUGAAUACUUAACCUUGUUCUUGUUGAAAAGACAUGACGUUUUAUUGCAAGGUCAUUGUAUUAAAAGCUAAUGUCUUCGUCAUCUCAUAAAGAUCAUCAUUGGAUGACGAACCCAUAACAUUAGAGUUUGUGAAUGGAGGGGGCGGUCUCACUUGAUAAUUCUGCUAAGGCUAAAAUCCAUGGGGAUGGAAUUGUCGGCCUUGAUUGCCUUGUUGAGGCAGGUUCCCAUAGCGUAAGUUUGGAUGAUCUCUCCAUCUGGGAUUGUACAUGUUGGAAAAGGGAUCAUAGUUACGCUAGGGUUAGCCGUUGAAUCCUCCAUCAACUGCAUGAACUUGUUCAAUAUAAUCUUCUUGUAUUGUUGGGCAUAUAUCUGUGCUAUGUCCUUGUAAGGAACAUAUGCUACAAACUUUCACUUGUUGUACAUUUCCAUAAGCCAAAGAGCGCAUAAGAGAAGUAAGAUCAUUAACUUUAUUUUCAAUGUUAGAAAUACUUACCUCAUUUACUCGUUUGUUUGAGAUGUCUCCACGGGUGCCAAACUGUUUUGAGUUGGCUAUCAUGUUUAAGAUCAAUUGGCGUGCACCCUCUGGUGUCUUGUCUACCAAUGCCCCUCCAUAUGCAGCAUCAAUGAUACUACGAUCAGUAGGCAUCAAUCCUUCAUAGAAAUAUUGAAUGAGCAGCUGACCGGGUAUUUAAUGAUGAGGGCAUUGGAUGCACAGUUGCUCAAAUCUUUCCUAAUAUUCGGAGAGUGUCUCGCCAUAAGAUUGCCGAAUCCCACAUAUUUCUUUCCUUGUGUUGGCAACUUGAGAUGCUAGGAAAUUACUUCUCAAGGAAGAUCUUCUUCAUGGCAUUCCACGUUCCAAUGGAACCUGGGAGAAUAGAGAAAAGCCAUGCCUUUGCUGCCCCUUUUAAAGAGAAAGAGAAAGCUUUCAACUUAACUUGUUCUUCAUCAACUCCAUUCAGUUUCAUGCCAACGCAAACCAUAUGAAACUCCUUAAGAUGAGUAUGGUUGAUUUUCCAUGUUAGGAGCAGCAAGCUCUAUGAGUGUUUGUUAUCAUGCAAUAGCCUUAGUGUUGACGCGAGCUUCGUUUCAUAACCUGAGUAAAGUGUUUUCUAUUUUGAGAUCCACAUGUACUUGACUCUGGUUAAUAGAACGGGUUACAGGCAUAAAUCAUCAAGAAAACUCAAAAGAAACUAACCACACAAGAGAUCGAAAACAAUGCAAAUUGUACGAAAAUCCUAUCCUCUCUCCCGUUCUCUCUUUUUCUCUUAUUUUUCUGCUCCCUUUUUUUGCUAUUUUUUUGCUCUCUUUUUGCCGCCCCUUGCUAGGUCAUUAAAGGGGUUUAUAUAUAGUCUAGAAUAUCUCUAUUUAGGAAAGAUUUAAUGCAUUAAUUCUAGGACGUAAAUCCCUACUGAUUUGCAGUAAAAAAACGCAAAAGGAAGCUGCAAUAUUCUGAUUUUGUGCUGGUGCUUUACGUCUGAUUUCUUUCCAAUUUUAGAGGAGGGUGUGGCUAUUUUCUUUCCUUCCUUUCAUAGGGCCAGCUGCUCCCUUUCAAAUGAGGCAAGAAAAAACGUGGUUGCAGCUCCAAAAUUCAGGCAUGAUGAUAAAGGAAAAACAGCAGGAAUUUGCAGCGAAAAAAAGGAAAGAAAUCAGAUGGAGGGUGCAGCUGCAAAGUCUCAUUUUCCUUAUUCGGUGUGGAAAAAAUCCUGUCAUUUAUGAUGAUACAGCCCCCUCUCCAGCUUUCAAUAUCCUUCUUCAAUUCAAUCCCUCAUUUUAACAAUUUUUGAUUCAGUCCUGGGUCCAAAAAAAAUCCUUCGAAUCAGCCCCGCGAAUUGGGCUAUAUCCUUCCCGCGGCAGAAUUUUCUAUCCUCACGUUAGAUAUUCAAAAUGGGAAUAUCUUGAGCUUCUGAUAUCGAAAUCAAGUGAUUCAAAAGCCCAAAUUCAUCUACAUGUCUAGGACUAAAACUUUAAUGAAGAAGUCGAAGUGAGAUAAAAUCUUUUUACAGAACAGAAACUGGCAGUAAUCUAGUUGGUCAAAAGGAAUCUCCGGGUCUAACUCAAAAACUGAGGAAUGUCGAGAAUCCUGAUAUGACUGAGAGUAUGAACUAAGAACGAAAAUCACAAAAACUAGGCCAAAAAUAGAGUUUCUUUAGUGUAGACUCGGGUCAAUAUCCUUCUCGCGGCAGAAUUCUCUGCCUUCACGUUAGAUAUUCAAACGGGAACAUCUUAGGCCUCUGAUAUCAAAAUCAAGUGAUUCAAAAGCCCAAAUUCAUCUACGCGUCUAGGACUACAACUUUGAUGAAGGAGUUGAAGUGAGAUAAAAUCUUUUUACAGAACAGAAACUGGCAGUAAUCUAGUUGGUCAAAAGGGAUCUCUGGGUCUAACUCAAAAACUGACGAAUGCCGAGAAUCCUGAUAUGACUGAGAGUAUGAACUAAGAACAAACAUCACAAAACUAGGCCAAAAAUAGAGUUUUUUUAGUGCAGACUCGGGUCAAUAUCCUUCUCGCGGCAGAAUUCUCUACCUUCACGUUAGAUAUUCAAAUGGGAACAUCUUGAGCCUCUAAUAUUGAAAUCAAGUGAUUCAAAAGCUCAAAUUCAUCUACGCGUCUAGGACUACAACUUUGAUGAAGGAGUCGAAGUGAGAUAAAAUCUUUUUACAUAACAGAAACUGGUAGUAAUCUAGUUGGUCAAAAAGGUUCUUGAUCUGACAAUACUGAGCAUCCAAAUCUAAAUGAGAAUCUGCUCUAAGAACAAUGAUCCCUAGGACCUAAUAAAGGUGUACGUCAAUUUUUCAAUAUGUAAUGAGUGACAGGAUAUACCUAGGAUGGUCAGAUAUCGUAUGAAACUGAGUCAGAAUCAGAGCCUAAGUUGGAACCAAAAAAAAUUGCGACAGCAGCAGAACUAUUUUUUUAGUGCAAAUUCUGAGGGAUUUAUUCAACUUUAAAGACCAGAUAAAAAAUAAUGAAUUUAGCAUUAUGAAGACUCCUGAUCAAACUAAGAAAACCUGAUGAUUUUGGUAGUAAAGGGGAAGGAUAAAAAGAGCAGAAAACAACUCAAACAAGGUUUCAAAAUAUUUCUUUAUGUGCCUUUGUCAAUCUUUUGGUGAAUAUGAGCUAAUCUCCUACACUCUGUUCAAAAGAGGUAUACACUGUCUUCAGCACGUGGGGUCCAAAAUUGAGUAACAACAGUUGCCCCCUCUUUACAAUGCUUACGAAGCAAAACUUGUCAAGCGCUUCGCGUAGUAAGUGUUGUAAAGAUAAACCAUUUGAUCCUGCUAAAUCUCACUGCUUUUCCUAAACAAUGGUCUCCCUAUCAGAUGACCUGCUUAUUUAAGAUUUCUAGAAAAACUUCAAUUUUUUUUGAAAUGGUCUGAUUAUCGGGUGACCUGCCCAUCUUAAGAUUCUUUGAAAACUCCACGCUUUUCUAAGAAACGGUCUCAAUAUCAGGUGACAGGCCCAUCUUAAAAUUCUUAGAAAACUCCACGCUUUUCUAAGAAACGGUUUCAAUAUCAGGUAACCGGCCCCUCUUAAAAUUCUUUAGAAAACUCCACGCUUUUCUAAGGAAUGGUCUCAAUAUCGGGUGACCUCUUAGAAAACUCCACGCUUUUCUAAGGAAUGGUCUCAAUAUCGGGUGACCUGCCCAUCUUAAGAUUCUUAGAAAACUCCACGCUUUUCUAAGAAACGGUCUCAGUAUCAGGUGACCGACCCAUCUUAAAAUUCUUAGAAAACUCCACGCUUUUCUAAGAAACAGUUUCAAUAUCAGGUAACCGACCCCUCUGAAAAUUCUUUAGAAAACUCCACGCUUUUCUAAGAAAUGGUCUCAAUAUCGGGUGACCUGCCCAUCUUAAGAUUCUUAGAAAACUCCACGCUUUUCUAAGAAAAGGUCUCAAUAUCAGGUGACUGGCCCAUCUUAAAAUUCUUAGAAAACUCCACGCUUUUCUAAGAAACAGUUUCAAUAUCAGGUAACCGGCCCCUCUUAAAAUUCUUUAGAAAACUCCACGCUUUUCUAAGGAAUGGUCUCAAUAUCGGGUGACCUGCCCAUCGUAAGAUUCUUAGAAAACUCCACGCUUUUCUAAGAAAUGGUCUCAAUAUCAGGUGCCCGGCCCAUCUUAAAAUUCUUAGAAAACUCCACGUUUUUCUAAGAAACAGUUUCAAUAUCAGGUAACCGGCCCCUCUUAAAAUUCUUUAGAAAUCUCCAUGCUUUUCUAAGGAAUGGUCUCAAUAUCGGGUGACCUGCCCAUCUUAAGAUUCUUAGAAAACUCCACGCUUUUCUAAGAAACGGUCCAAUAUCAGGUGACCGGCCCAUCUUAAGAUUCUUAGAAAACUCCACGCUUUUCUAAGAAACGGUCCAAUAUCAGGUGACCGGCCCAUCUUAAAAUUCUUAGAAAACUCCACGCUUUUCUAAGAAACGGUUUCAAUAUCAGGUAACCGGCCGCUCUUAAAAUUCUUUAGAAAAAUCCACGCUUUUCUAAGGAAUGGUCUCAAUAUCGGGUGACCUGCCCAUCUUAAGAUUCUUAGAAAACUCCACGCUUUUCUAAGAAACGGUCCAAUAUCAGGUGACUGGCCCAUCUAAAAAUUCUUAGAAAACUCCACGCUUUUCUAAGAAACGGUUUCAAUAUCAGGUAACCGGCCUCUCUUAAAAUUCUUUAGAAAACUCCACGCUUUUCUAAGGAAUGGUCUCAAUAUCGGGUGACCUGCCCGUUUUAAGAUUUUUAGCAAAUACUCCAUGCUUUUUUUCAAAAAAAAAAAAAGAUCUCAAUAUUGGGUGACCUGCCCGUUUUGAACUUCAAAAGAAAUCAUCUUACCUCGUGGAAUGAAGCAAUGCUGGUUCACAAUUCCUAUCAUUUUCCAUAGUUUCGUUGACCUGAGAUUUUGUACCUCAGCAGUUCCCAAAAAACUUGGAAAUUUAUUUUGUCUUUCGUCACGCCUUUUCCUGCCAGGUUAGUGUUAUGACAAUAUAGCAUGCAUGUUUUUUUGUUACCUAUUUUGGAAACAUAGGUCCCCCUUUCUGUUGUAGACUUAUUGAGCUCUUGUUUCCACUUGUUUUGUCCGACUUGUCCUCUUAAAACAAAAUAUGCUCCACGCGCUAUACUUCCUAUCCUUUUGGUGAAGAGAUCUUUGGUUCCUUAUGGGGCCCUUUAUUGCUCCACUGAGUAUUGUCUUUUUAUUAUUAUUUUAAAAGGAAAACUCAAAAUAUUUGGUUGUUCAUGAAAACUGAAACUUCAAUGCAAUUGGCAAUUCUCAUAAGAGACGCUUUUUCUAGAAAUUUUUAUGAUGAUACCCCUUUUGGCUUUGGUUCACUAUGGACCCCUAUGUGCACUUCGUACACUUCUUGCCCCCAGUGUGGUGUGCAUAAAUACGCCAAGUUUAGAUUUGAUUUGGUUCCCUCCAAUUAAUGGAGUCAUUUCCUUAGUCAUGUGUAAGAAAAGAGUUUGUUUAAGUAAAAGAUUUCAAAUGCUAUGAGAUCAUGCUUUUUAUGAAAAAAGGUUUUUUUACAAAGGAAAUUCAUGGCCAAACUUUAUUUUAUUGAUUGGGAGAUUACAGAAUACAUCAAGCGUAAUAUUUCCUUACAGAGUCAGAAUUCACUGGCCUAACUAGAUCUUCUCCAUCCAUUCUAGAUAACAGCAAAGCUACUCCCGAGAACGCUUUCUUCACCAUGUAAGGGCCCUCAUAGUUCGGCGCCCAUUUACUCUGAUCUUCUCCUGGUAAAGGCAAUAUUUUCUUCAGUACGAGAUCUCCUUCAUGGAAUCCUCGAGGUCGAACCUUUUUGUCGUAUGAUUUGGCCAUCCUUCUUUGGUAAAGUUGAUGAUGACAGAUUGCAGCUAUCCUCUUUUCACUGAUCAGAUUCAGCUGUUCAUAUCUAACUUUUGCCCAUUCUACCUCUUCCAGCUCAGAAUUUACCAGUACUCUCAAUGAGGGGAUUUCCACUUCUAAAGGCAUAACCGCCUCCAUUCCAUAUACCAACGUGUACGGGGUGGCUCCUAUUGAGGUUCGGACUGCGGUGCGAUACGCAUGAAGGGAAAAUGGCAACAUCUCAUGCCAAUCCUUAUAGGUGACUACCAUCUUCUGAAUAAUCUUUUUGACAUUCUUGUUAGCAGCUUCUACCGCACCAUUCAUCUUUGGUCUAUACGGCGAAGAGUUGGAAUGCUUGAUUUUCCAUUUAGCGCAGAGUUCUAUUAUCAUCUUGCCAUUGAAAUUCUGGGCAUUAUCAGUUAUAAUCUUUUCUGGUGGACCAUAUCGACAAAUCAAAUCUCUCUCAAUAAAUUUCUUCACUACUUUUUGCGUCACAUGAGCAAAUGACCCGGCUUCUACCCAUUUUGUAAAGUAGUCGAUAGCCACGAGAAUAAACCUAUGACCAUUGCUGGCUUUUGGGUUUAUAGGUCCAAUCACAUCAAUUCCCCACUUCGCGAAGGGCCAUGGAGAUGUCAAGUUAAAUAGAGGAGUUAGAGGGGCAUUGAUUUUGUCACUGUAUACUUGGCACUUAUGACAUUUUCGGACAUAGUCGAUGCAAUCCUUUUCUAAUGUCAUCCAGAAGUAACCGGCUCUUUGUAUCUUCCUAGCCAUCACGUGUCCAUUAGCAUGGGUUGAGCAAAUCCCUUCAUGGACUUCUCGUAACGCGCUUUUUGCCUCAAAUUCAUCCAAACAUCUCAACAAAGUCCCGUCGAAUGAUUUCUUAUACAAAAUCUCCCCAUCAAGAUAAAAAUCCAUUGCCAACCUCCUCAAGGUCUUCUUGUCGAUUUUGGAUGCCCCCAUGGGAUAUGCCUGGUUUUGGAUGAAAUUCUUGACAUCAUAGUACCAAGGGUUUCCAUCCACUUCUCUUUCGACUGAGCAACAAUGAGCUGGGUUAUUUCUGAUAUUGAUGUGUACUGGUUGUACCCUGUGCCCGAAGUCUAUUUUGGCCAUAGAUGCUAGUGUAGCCAAAGCAUCUGCAAACUGGUUUCCUUCCCUUCCUAGAUGGGUGAACUCUAUUUCCUCAAAUUCUCCAGCCAGUUUAGAUAGGUAUUCUUGGUAAGGCCUUAACUUCUCUUCCUUGGUUUGCCAUUCUCCUUUUACUUGACAAAUGAUCAGCAUUGAGUCUCCAUACACAUCUAUCUUUCUGAUGUUUAGCUCCAAUGCAGCCUCAAAACCGAGAAUGCAAGCUUCAUACUCAGUCGUGUUGUUGGUACACCCGAACUGUAGCUUAACUGAAACCGGAUACUGCUUCUUAUCAGGAGAGAUUAUCACCGCACCCGCUCCGUUACCACAUACAUUUACAGCACCAUCAAAGUACAUAAUCCACCAAUCUGAUUUCUCUUCCUCGAUUGCAAGCACAUCUUCAUCAGGAAAUUCAAAGUCUAAUGAUUCAUAAUCUUCCAUAGCAUGGUCAGCCAGGUGAUCGGCAAUAAUACUCCCUUUUACAGCUUUCCUUGUCAUAUAUAUUAUGUCAUACUCAGCCAAUAGAACUUGCCAUCUUGCAAUUCGGCUCGAUAAAUAGGGCUUUUCACAAAUGUACCUCAACGGGUCUAAUUUGGAAAUUAACCACGUAGUGUGAUACAACAUAUACUGACGUAAUCUCUUUGCAGCCCAUGUCAGUGCGCAACACAACUUCUCAAUCACAGUAUACUUAGACUCACAUUCCGUGAACUUCUUGCUCAGGUAAUAAAUGGCCCUUUCCUUCCUUCCGGUUUCAUCGUGUUGCCCAAGCACACAUCCCAUUGCUGUUUCUGUUACUGUUAGGUACAAUAUCAAUGGCCUUUCUGGUACAGGAGGAACAAGCAGGGGUGGAUUUAACAAGUACUGCUUGAUUUUCUCAAAAGCCUCUUCGCACUCUUCAUUCCAAUUUCCAGGGUUCUUCUUCCUUAACAAACGAAAGAUCGGGUCACAAGUCGUGGUUAAUUGGGAUAUAAAUCGAGCAAUGUAAUUCAACCUUCCUAAGAAACCUCUCACAUCCUUCUCAGUCUUGGGAGGUGGCAUAAAUUGAAUAGCCUUUACUUUGUCGGGAUCCACUUCUAUCCCUUUAUCACUCACCACAAAUCCCAACAACUUCCCAGAUUUCACCCCGAACGAACACUGUGCCGGGUUAAGUCUCAACUUAUAUUUCCUUAAUCUUUCAAACAAUUUCUUCAAUAUUUGGACAUGAUUCUCUCCCUCUCUAGAUUUAGCAAUCAUGUCAUCCACGUAUACUUCAAUCUCUUUGUGCAUCAUGUCAUGAAACAAAGUCACCAUAGCCCUUUGGUAGGUGGCCCCAGCAUUCUUUAAACCAAAUGGCAUGACUUUGUAGCAAAAUGUUCCCCAUGGUGUUACAAAGGUUGUCUUCUCUUUAUCCUCUUGCGCCAUUUUUAUCUUAUUGUAGCCCGAAAAUCCAUCCAUAAAGGAAUAUGUGGAGCUACGUGCUGCAUUAUCAACUAACAUAUCUAUGUGUGGUAGAGGAAAAUUAUCUUUAGGGCUAGCCCGGUUUAAGUCCCUAAAGUCCACACAAACUCUGAUUUUACCUUCCUUUUUGGGUACCACCACUAUGUUUGACACCCAUUGUGGAUACUUGACUACUUCCAAAAAACCAGCGUUCCAUUGUUUUUCAAUUUCUGCUUUUACUUUGAUUAAGACCUCCGGAUGAGUUCUCCUCAACUUCUGCUUAAUCAGUUUGCAUCCUUCCACCAGUGGUAUCCUAUGUACUACGAUAUCCGUAUCCAAACCAGGUAUAUCCUCGUAGGACCAAGCAAAGACAUCUAUGUAAUCUCGAAGCAGUGCAAUCAAUUCUUCCUUCUCUUCAGGGGUGAUCAAAGUCCCUAUUUUCAGCUCUCUCUUGAUUUCUUCAUUACCCACAUUUAUGGUUUCAAGUUCCUCUUUAGCGGGCCUCCAAGCCUGUUCAUGCUGUUCUAUUAAUUUUGUGAAUUCACUUAUGUUUUUCUCCUCCCAUUCCUCAUCUUCUACAGCUACUAUGUAUUCUUUAAAGUUUGGCCAUUCAUUCUCAAUGUAAAGUGCAGGUGUUGUUGUGGAGGAUCCACUUUCAGGGUUCCUGAAAGCGGGAAGUGAUGUGUAAAUGCACAGUAAGACAUCAAGAUGAAUUUUGAAAAUGCAUGAUCUCAUUAAAAGGAAAAGAUUGGCUCAAAAACAAAAAUAAAAUCCAAUUGACAUCUUGAGCUUCGAUUGUCAAUGAAAAAAAAAAUAGAAAGAAAAAAAAAGGCAAACAACAUAGAUAAAAUUAUAAUCUAAUAAUCAUUGUUGAUUACAUUUUGAGAACCAAUGGAGCUUCUUGGGUCUCCCAAUUCUGGAACUUCUCUCCUUCGGCUAGCUUUCGAAUGAAAGUCUUGGCGGUAAAUUCUUCCAGAGUGUAGAUGGUUAAUUGCGGUAGCUCUUCAUCCCUUCUUCCGGAUUCAAUCUUCUUAGCAAUGUCCUCGACUUGAUCUCCCUCCAAAGUGUUUAUGUUCAUUGAAAAAAACUUCUGAAGAAGGUUUCCAUGUCCCUUAUCAGGUUGCAUCUCAUAUGCGGCCUUUGGAAAAGAAAUCCUGAUUGGAGGGAUAGCUAAGCUUUCUUCUUCAGGCUUCCUUCCUUCAAUCCUAGCCAUUCUUUUCUCCCUUCUUGCACCAGCAGCUCGCUUGUAAUCCUCUUUCUUGGGCUUAUAAUCAAGCCCAAACCUCUGUUCUGUAGCUUUCAGCUUGAUUAUAUCAAUCCAUUCAAGUCUUCCUUUCUUGAUGUCAUAUGGGCAAGGAAUCUUGUGUUUCAAAAAGCUUUUAGCGGCUAUUUUGGUGGCCUCCGAGAUUUCUGGUUUCCUCACCACAGUGUUCUCGGGCACCCACUCGAUAUUCACAACUUCAAAUGCAUGAAGGUUUCCAUCCUUACAAUCUUCGGCUUCGAUGAAUGGAACCGCCACAUUUCUUACCAUUGAUAUAGUCUCCUCAGCCUUAACAGUAACCAGAACACCAUUGGCAAUGUACUUCAAACAUUGAUGCAGUGAGGAGGUGACAGCUCCCGCAGAAUGUAUCCAUGGCCUUCCUAACAACAUACUAUAGGAAGGGUGGAUAUCCAUCACUUGAAGGGUUACUAGAAAGACUUGUGGACCCACAGCUAGUUCGACCUCAAUUGUCCCUAUCACUUGCCUUGGCGAGCCAUCGUACGCUCUAGCCGUCAUCACACUGGGUUGCAUAUGUGAGGGAUCUACUGGCAUUUCAUCCAGCAUAUGCCUUGGUAACACAUUAAGGGCUGAGCCGUUAUCAAUGAGAACUUUACCAAUGAGACAAUCUUUGCAUCGAACCGUGACAUAUAAGGGCUUGUUAUGUCCCGUUCCUUCAGCGUCAAGUUCAUCUUCCGUGAAAUAUAAGUAAUUAGCAGCAUGGAUCCUCCCUACUAGAUGCUCCAUAGUUUUUUGUUCAAUAUCUUGGGGUACGUAGGCCUCAUUCAGUACUUUUUGCAAAGCAUUACGAUGCGGCUCGGAGCUAAGUAUUAAUGACAUGAUGGAGAUCUUGGCAGGGGUCUUCUUCAACUGAUCCACUAUACAAUACUCACUAUGCUUCAUCAAUUUCAGGAACUCAUUUGUUUCUUCCUCAGUCACAGGUUUAUUUACCUCGAGCUCUUUAUCGAGGUCCAAUACCUCCUUGCCUUUAGCCUUUCUUUGCUUCUCUAGUUCUUCAGGUGUGAAACAACGACCACUCCGAGUUAGCCCACUUAUCUCAUUUUGGAACAAUGACAAAGGAGUUUCGACAUUCGAGGUAUAACCAUAAUCUCCAGGCAUCGCUCCAUAGUCUACUUUGUUUGCAUACGAGGGCUUAGUUAAUACCAAUUUCGAGAGCCCAUUAGCUGUUGAUUGGACUCUACAUUUCCCCCGAUUCUCUAUCAUCUCUAUCUCUUCAUUAUCUUUUACAGCCCCAAUCCUUAACUCUCCUAAAGUCAGCAUUCUCACAACCUUUUGAUGAAACUCAAUGCAUUCAUCAAUGUGAUGCCCUUUCUUUCUAUGGAAUGGGCAAAAAUCAUCUUCCCUUAUGCAAUGUUCAGAUGGUUUCUCCAAAUGUCCAGAUUGUACCAACAUUUCAUACAGCCUUGCCAUGGUCACUCUCAGCACCUUCUCUUUACUACCGACCUCCAUAGUAUUCACUCCACUACCACCUACAGCAUGUUUGGGUAGAGGGUUUGAAUUCACAUUAGGCGAAUCUUCAAAAGUGACCCUUCCGAUUUUGAUCAACUGCGAUACCCUUUUCUUAAAAGCUACGCAGUUUUCGAUGUUGUGACCCGUAUUACUAGCAUGGUAUUCACAAGUCAACUCGGGGUUGUACCAGGUAGGGAAAGGCGGUUGCAUAGGAGGUAAUGGUAGGGGAGCUAUCUGCCCAAUACUUAGUAACUUGGCAUAUAACUCCUUUAGGGUUAUUGGCAAAGGUGGUAAUUGUUCUUCUAGUUGUCGGUUGUCUCUCCUUUGGUAAUUGUUUUGGCUAUUGGUGGGGAAUUUUGUUUGAUGGGGUUGGUUUGGGACGGAGGGUUUGGAAAAGUUGAUGCUAGUGAUUUGGGAGGUAGGUAUUUGGUAGUUUUGGUAGUUUUUUCCUCUCCCUUUAUAACUGUCUUCUAGGUUAUUUACCUCAAUUUCCUUCUUCUUCCCAACAAAACCCCUCUUCUCUAUAGGUUCCGCAAUUCUCCCACUUCGGAUUCCUUGCUCAAUCCUUUCAGCAAUUCGCACAGCAUCAUAGAAAUGUUGGGCUGAGCUACCCAUAAGAUGCUCAUAGUAUGGGGCCCUAAAAGUAUUGGCAAACAACGUUACCAUCUCCGUCUCUAUUAGUGGAGGUUGUACAUUGAUAGCUUGGUCUCGCCACCUCUGAGCAUAAGCCCUCACGGACUCUUGAGUUCCUUUCUCCAUGGUAAUUAGACUGGUCCUAUCAGGAGCAAUCUCAAGAUUGAACUUGUAUUGUUUUAAGAAAGCAUCUGCCAGAUCUGUCCAUUUCUUGAUCCUAACGUUGUCCAGCCUCAUAUACCAGCUGAGGGCCGAUCCUAUCAAGCUAUCUUGGAAGAAGUAAAUUAGCAACUUAUCAUCGUGGAUAACUUCUGCCAUCUUGUUAUAGUAGGAACGAAGAUGGGUCUUUGGGCAUUCCAUCCCGGUAUACUUAACAAACUCCGGCACUCUGAACUUCUUUGGAAUUACGAUGUUAGGUACCAAACAUACUUCAGCGGCCCUAAUUGGGUCAAAUAAAUCAUUUCCUUCAACUGCCCUUAGCCUCUCUUCUAGCGCAGUCCAUUUAUCAUACCCAACAUGAUCAGAGAAUCUGACGUCCUGUGGAUCCUCGUUUGUUAAAUCCAUUGUAAUAGGGAUUUGGAUGGGCCGAGUGGGAUUAGGAUGCUGCUUAUGUGGUGUAUUUGCCCCCAUGUUUAUAGGUGCGACAAGGAUUUGAGCUGCUGCUGGUGCUUCAUCAGUUUGAGUAGACGUUCCCUCUCCAUCUUUGGCUCUCAACAUUUGCUCAAGCAAACUGGUCAGGUGCGCCACAUCAUUCCGAACUCCUUCAAGUUCCCUUUGAUACUAAGCUUCUGGUUGUGACCUUUCUUCAUUUUCCAUCCUUUUUCUUUGUCGAGUGUUGUGGAUUCUAGAAGGGGGACCUAUGUUUCUUAGUCUGCAGAUGCGUGUAUAGAUGUAUGAGAAAAUGCAUGAUUGAGAAUGCUUUGUAUAUUAGGUAUGGAUGCAACCUUCUUGUGAACGAAUAAUAGCCACCACCUUAUAAACAUAGGUUCUUUUGUCACAUUGCUAGGAGUACUGCCUUUGAAGUCGUUUGCUUGAAUCAUAUUCACCAAGAGACAGAUUUUGCAUAAGAAGAUGGGUCAACGCCCUUUUCAUUAAUGCUUGAUAAGUUUAUUACAUUAAUAAAUAAAAAGGAAAUACAAAAUUUAUUAAUCCCUUUCCUCCACAAACUCUCUAGCCAAAGGUAAGAAGGCAAAACCACGGUUCUCAAUCUUCCCUAGAAAGACAUCGGUUUCAGCUAGGCUUCGGCGAUAGCGAAUGAUAUCCCCUCCCACAUUCCGCGCAUUAAUUCUAAUAAUUCGAGCAUGUGCAGCAGCUUCAUCCAUUUGCUCAUCUGUCUUGGUCAUCUUUUCUAUGAGCAACAUAUUGGUUCUGUUCAAAGCAGUGUUGUUGGCGUCGAUUUGAUCCUUGUGUUUUUCCAUUGCUGCUAGCUUCUCGUCCAAAUACUUCACCUUUUCACGUUCCUUAUCAAGUUUUAUCCUCAUAACUUUUAUCUCAUUCCUCUUAACCGCUAAUUCUGUUUCAAAAGCCUCAAAACCUUUCCUUUUAUUAUCUUUUUUUGCAAUCCCCAUUAAACGGCUUUCCAACUCCAUAUAUUUCUUGUUCAAAUCCUCAUACUUCCCAAUCCUAUCCAUCAAUUCAAACUGGACUUGUGCAAAUUUUUCUUGGAAAUAUUCUGCACUUCCUUGGCAAUCGUUAAAGUCAAUCUCCAUUGCUUCAAGUUCAGAGCAACUUUGCAUCCAAUCCAAACUCAUCCCUCUUAGCUCCUUCUCACUCUUUUCCCUAGCAAUCUUCUCCUCACCCAGCUUUAACUCAAGCUUUGUUAUUCGCGCAUCUCUAGAUUGUAUUUGCUCAUCUAGAAAUGCUCUCCUUUUAUCUUCUUUUAGCAUCAUUUCUUCCAACAUUGCCUUAUCUUUUCUGCUUUUGCUCAACUCUGUCCGAAGUUUUUCCACUUGUCUUCUCAACUCCUCUUCAUUAUUGACCCUUUUCCUCUUAACAGACUCUUCUAUAGUUUGGGGAGAUUUAGCCUCUACACAAGGCAUGGCUAAAGCAGCUAAGUCUCUCCAUCUUGCAUAUCCUUCGCUUGCACUUGGAUCCUUUAAACCUUCUAUCUCAACCAAAACCAGAUGCUUCCAAUCUUGUUUGAUGAUCUCCAAAACUUCUUGUGCAAUGGGAUCUUUGAACAAACCAAAGAAUUGAGCAAUUCCCAUAGUCCUUGGAACAAACUGCAUGCCCCCAAGUUGCCUUACCACCAGGGCAGGAGCAUAACUUACAUAACCUGUAAUCCCUACCAAUGGUACCCAACGUCUUUGUCCACAACUCAUUAGGACUUUCACUAUCGUUACCCAUGGGGCUCUCCACUUAAAAUCACUAUUAGGCAAACCUUCUAAUUUGUCAACCCAACCUUGGUUGUCUAGAUCCACCCAUUCUUCUUCUUCUACUAACUUCAGGGGUCUUUGGGUGAACCACCAAAAAUUAUUGAAGACGGGUUUUUUUGUUUCGAUAUGGCUAACCAUCCAGAUAUACAACAACUGCGUGCAGCAUCUCAUUGCCCCUUUUCCGGUCCUCCUACAAUGAUUAAGCGUCAAGAUGGUUUCAGCUAAAAUCGCAGCCACUGGAUUGAUUUGUGUAUUCUCAUACUCUACAUAAGCAGCAGCGGCCUCCAAACUCACUAAACCCGUCUGACUUGGAAACAACACAAGGCCAAAUAUGCCCAAGGCAAUCAAUCUCUCUUUUUCUAAUCCUGACUUCUUUUCCAGUUCAAUUUCUAGCAUCCUCCAUUUCAGACCGGUAGCAUUCUUUUCCAAAAACUUUUCCAAGUUGGAGAUUCUGAGCAGUUUUGACAGUUCGGGGAUGAUCUUGUCAGAUCUCAAAGGCAAAUAAAUCCGAUACAGAUUGUUUGGAAACUCAGUCAACAUCCCAUAUUCCUCCAUAGUGGGACAUAGGUCUAUACUUCCAAAAGAAAAACACCGGUAGUCUGGAUCCCAAAAAUGAACUAUGGCUCGCACAGCUGGGCUUAAAACUUCUACCCUUGCAAUUUCCAUCAAACGUCCGUAUUUAUUAAAAAAUGCAUCCUUAUCCACAUUCUGAAAGUGAGUCGUUAACUUGUUCACCUCAUUCAUAAUGCAAUUCAGGUUCUUGAUUGGUGACAGUUUCUUAGCAUCGCUUCUAAGGCAGUCUCCUUCAGUCAAUUGUGACAGUUCAGAAUUUUUCCCAUAUUCUAUGAUGGAAAAUUUAGCAAUGGUGGCCAUUUCGUUCACAAGUCCUGCAAUUCAAAAUGCCUUGGGGUUAGACUUGUUUUGAUACAAAAGAUAUUAUGGAUCAUACAACCUAAGGAUAGGUUCUAGUUCCUUUACGUGAGACAUAGGGUAGGUUUACUACUUGGUCUCUAAAAAAGGGUCUCUUGCUGUCCCAGUGAUCGCCCUCGUAAAGGCAAUAUGGGGGUUCAGCAGAUAGUGGGAUGGCACAUGUACCAAUCACUAUCAGUCUAAACACUCAGCAAAAAGUUGGGGUUUACACAAACUUAAACCUUGACUCAAGUCAUAAGGCAAGCUGCUAGUUCCCCACUUAGCUUAAAGUUAAAUGUGUGUGCCCUCAAAAAAAAAAAAAAUAAUAAAGUGAUGCAUGAUUAUACCAUGUAUGACAGAAUGUAAAGAUGCAUGCUAAAGCUUUUAAACAAGGUAUCAUUCAUAUAAGAAAACAAAAAUCAAUAACACAUAGCAUAAACAAACAAAUUACCAAGCCUAGUCCUAAGUCCCCAGUGGAGUCGCCAUCCUGUCGCACCCUCGCGGCGGAGCGCGGCGUCGCGGUGACCAUCGAUUGAUUUCGGGGUCUUUUUGUGUAAAGGAGUCGCCACCUAGUAUUAUGGUCACUAGGAAACCUAACUGGUCUUUCAGAGAUUCUAAGGCAAGGGACUGGUUGCGUAAAGGGAAGGUAUUAGCACCCCUAGUACGCCAUACCUAAGGUAAGCUGCUUAGUAUUUGGUUUGUCUUAUAAUUGCUAUGGUGUUGAUGUUUUCUAAUCCCAUCAGUUUUCUAGGUUUUGAUUCAAACUAAAUUUAUUAGGAUAGAAACCCAAGGAAGUUCCAUGUGCUUUAAAAGCUCAUUUUCCCCUUAGUUUUUCAAGGGUUUGCGACUCAUAAAUCGCAAGGAGGAGGGGCAAAAAUUUAGAAAUCUAGGGUGCUUUAAAAACCUAUUUUUUUUGUCUUAGUGUUUUAACUCUCACAGCUCGUAAAUCGUGGAAAAAAAAUUUGAAAUGUCCUCGAUUAUAAUCAAGGCUUCUUUCAAGGAUGUGUGCGGAUUUAUUACUCCCAAUAAUAUUUUGGAUAUUCGUCCUUUAAGGAUUUCUUUAUCCAAACAUUAGCGGUGAAUAAUAGAUGAAUUCCCCUCAAAAUAAGAUUUUUAUAUUUUUUGGAAUAUUGACCAAUACCCUUUGGAGUUUUACAAACAUGUUGUAAAAUCCAGAAAUGCAAGAAAAACAAUUUUUGGUGUUUAAGAAAUCCAUGCGAAAACACAUUUUCGAAACUUCCAAUGUUUUUUUGUGUAUAAAAAAAAGAGCGUUCAAAACAUGUUAGGGUAUUGGCCGUAUGCAACACGCAAGAAAAUAUUUUUUAUUUGAUCGAAACAUAAGCAUCACGGUAAUCACAAAUAAAGACAACAAGUCAUCACAUAUAUUUCAAAAAAAAUCAUAAGCCUUAAACAUUUCAGUUAAAAUAAAGCAGGAGAAAAAUAAAAAAAGAAAAGCGCUCCAAAGCCAAAACUCAUCAAAUAGAAUUUGAUCCAUCAAAUCACUCAGAGCCUAAACAUAGCAUGACCUAUUAUUUUCGACAGAAAAAAAAAACAAAAGAGUCCAUAUCACGUAAAAAAAAAACAACCCUUUGAACCCAAUCCUAUAGCAAAACCCCUGACUCCUUUUUCUGUCUGUGUUAAAAACCCAAACUGCGCCUAAAAGCCAACUAUUCCUAUGCAACAUUCUAACAGAGAGCACUCGGACAAAGAAAUGAAGGAAUAAUGAAGACCCUUAAAGUUUAAAAUUCCUCUCAAUAAGAGAGCAAAACAAACGCAACUCUAACAUAUAUAAAAAAAUCUUAACUCAAAGACACGGGAGGGACAGUGGGCAAGCAUGCAAAUUUGUAGCUAAGAUAGAAAACGAAGGUGCAAAACCAGAAGACAAAACAGUUUUUAAACAUCAAAAACAAGGACCUGCAGGUCUCACUGAAAUGUCUUAUUGCAGCAGCUGAAAUCAAAACCAAACGAACGUUGCUGACAGAGUUUAGAGCAAAACCCGACUCACGCCUCUCCUUUUUCAAAGCAAUGCAGGUCUUACUGAAAUGCUUUACUGCAGCAGCUAAAUAUAAACCAAAUGAACGUUGCUGUCAAGGCUUAGCAGCAAAGCUCCCUCUCCGUCUUGUCUUUUUUUCCUCCUCUUUCCUCACAGUAACUCAAGAAUGCAAGAAAGAAACUCUCUCUGUUUUUCUGCUUUUUUUCUACUGCCUCUCUCUUGCGUUUUUCUUGUCUUUCUUUUCCUAUCCUCUCUCCCGUUCUCUCUUUUUCUCUUAUUUUUCUGCUCCCUUUUUUUGCUAUUUUUUUGCUCUCUUUUUGCCGCCCCUUGCUAGGUCAUUAGAGGGGUUUAUAUAUAGUCUAGAAUAUCUCUAUUUAGGAAAGAUUUAAUGCAUUAAUUCUAGGACAUAAAUCCCUACUGAUUUGCAGUAAAAAAACGCAAAAGGAAGCUGCAAUAUUCUGAUUUUGUGCUGGUGCUUUACGUCUGAUUUCUUUCCAGUUUUAGAGGAGGGUGUGGCUAUUUUCUUUCCUUCCAUAGGGCCAGCUGCUCCCUUUCAAAUGAGGCAAGAAAAAACGUGGUUGCAGCUCCAAAAUUCAGGCAUGAUGAUAAAGGAAAAACAGCAGGAAUUUGCAGCAAAAAAAAGGAAAGAAAUCAGAUGGAGGGUGCAGCUGCAAAGUCUCAUUUUCCUUAUUCGGUGUGGAAAAAUUCCUGUCAUUUAUGAUGAUCCAGCCCCCUCUCCAGCUUUCAAUAUCCUUCUUCAAUUCAAUCCCUCAUUUUAACAAUUUUUGAUUCAGUCCUGGGUCCAAAAAAAAUCCUUCGAAUCAGCCCCGCGAACUUGGGCUAUAUCCUUCCCGCGGCAGAAUUUUCUGUCCUCACGUUAGAUAUUCAAAUGGGAAUAUCUUGAGCUUCUGAUAUCAAAAUCAAGUGAUUCAAAAGCCCAAAUUCAUCUACACGUCUAGGACUAAAACUUUAAUGAAGAAGUCGAAGUGAGAUAAAAUCUUUUUACAGAACAGAAACUGGCAGUAAUCUAGUUGGUCAAAAGGAAUCUCCGGGUCUAACUCAAAAACUGACGAAUGUCGAGAAUCCUGAUAUGACUGAGAGUAUGAACUAAGAACGAAAAUCACAAAAACUAGGCCAAAAAUAGAGUUUCUUUAGUGUAGACUCGGGUCAAUAUCCUUCUCGCGGCAGAAUUCUCUGCCUUCACGUUAGAUAUUCAAACGGGAACAUCUUAGGCCUCUGAUAUCGAAAUCAAGUGAUUCAAAAGCCCAAAUUCAUCUACGCGUCUAGGACUACAACUUUGAUGAAGGAGUUGAAGUGAGAUAAAAUCUUUUUACAGAACAGAAACUGGCAGUAAUCUAGUUGGUCAAAAGGGAUCUCUGGGUCUAACUCAAAAACUGACGAAUGCCGAGAAUCCUGAUAUGACUGAGAGUAUGAACUAAGAACAAACAUCACAAAACUAGGCCAAAAAUAGAGUUUUUUUAGUGCAGACUCGGGUCAAUAUCCUUCUCGCGGCAGAAUUCUCUACCUUCACGUUAGAUAUUCAAAUGGGAACAUCUUGAGCCUCUAAUAUUGAAAUCAAGUGAUUCAAAAGCUCAAAUUCAUCUACGCGUCUAGGACUACAACUUUGAUGAAGGAGUUGAAGUGAGAUAAAAUCUUUUUACAGAACAGAAACUGGUAGUAAUCUAGUUGGUCAAAAAGGUUCUUGAUCUGACAAUACUGAGCAUCCAAAUCUAAAUGAGAAUCUGCUCUAAGAACAAUGAUCCCUAGGACCUAAUAAAGGUGUACGUCAAUUUUUCAAUAUGUAAUGAGUGACAGGAUAUACCUAGGAUGGUCAGAUAUCGUACGAAACUGAGUCAGAAUCAGAGCCUAAGUUGGAACCAAAAAAAUUGCGACAGCAGCAGAACUAUUUUUUUAGUGCAAAUUCUGAGGGAUUUAUUCAACCUUAAAGACCAGAUAAAAAAUAAUGAAUUUAGCAUUAUGAAGACUCCUGAUCAAACUAAGAAAACCUGAUGAUUUUGGUAGUAAAGGGGAAGGAUAAAAAGAGCAGAAAACAACUCAAACAAGGUUUUAAAAUAUUUCUUUAUGUGCCUUUGUCAAUCUUUUGGUGAAUAUGAGCUAAACUCCUACACUCUGUUCAAAAGAGGUAUACACUGUCUUCAGCACGUGGGGUCCAAAAUUGAGUAACAACAACUGUUUCUACUCCAUUCUGCAACGUUGAUUUUGCUACUGCUUCAACAUUUUCUGCUAUUUUCUUUGCUAUUGUUUCAUCUUCCCUGCAAUUAUCUGCUAUCAACUUCUGUUUUCUACUCAUCUUCUGUAAUAUGGAUCCUUUGUUUUUUGCUACAGUUGGCACCACUAGCAGUCCUUCUUCUCCCAACAUUAAUGUUGUCACGCUUCCCUCUACUGCGACAGCAGCUGUUAUUCCACUGCCAAAUACACAGCAGGCCAUCAACCUCAAACUCACCAAUUCCAAUUAUUUAUUUUAGCGUAUGCAAAUGAAGCCAUAUCUGAUUGGCUAAGGGUGUUCUCGUUUGUCGAUGGCUCGUAUUCUUACCCUUCUCUGCUUGAUCUGUCCAGUCACUCUACUGUCACCUCUACAAACAUUAAUUCUGGUCCUUCCUAAAUGUUUCUCUCAUGGAAACAACAAGAUUAACUCAUACUCAAUGCUUUACUCUCAUCCUUCUCCAUUGAUGUUCUUCACCUUGUGGUGGACUGCCCAACUGCAGCAAGUGUUUGGAGCACCCUUGAAAGUACCCUUACCUCUCCAUCCAACUCUAGGAUUAUGCAAUUAUAUGGCUCUCUUCAGGAUCUUCAUCAAGGUGAUGAUAUUGUCACUCUCUACCUGCAGAAAGCUAAAGGCUUAUUUGACGAACUAGCCGUAGCAGGCAGGCCUAUCUCCUUCACUGACUUCAAUCUCUAUGUUUUUCGAGGCCUUCGCGAUGAAUUUUGAGAUUUGGUUACUAGUCUGUUGACCAACGUUAAGCCUCAUCCAUACUCUGAGCUCCAUAGUUACUUGUCUACACAUGAAUUUUUACACAUGAGCUCUCUUCAAUCCAUUCCAGCUACUGCACCGUUGCUACCCACACCCUCCCUCUACAUAUGCUGCACAACGUGCCUUUGUUGGAUUUAAUGGCAGUGGCUCCUCUUCUUAUUGGGGUAGAGGAAGAAGAGGAGGCUGGAGAGGUAACUUUUGCAGCAAUUAUAACCAGUACCCUAGCCAGCCUUACUAUGGAAACAGUGGGAGCUCCUCCUAGCAGAACAUAGGAGCUACGACAUCAACAAAAACAAGGAGGGCAACACCAGUGGCCUCGACAGAUUAGAUGCCAACUUUGCAGCAACAUCGGACACUCUGCACAACAAUGUUCUUAGCUUGUGCAUAAUGGGAAUCAAGCUUCAACCAACCUCUCCUUUAGUGAUGCUUUAACAACAAAUCCUAUCACUUGGUUCCCCGAUACAGGUGCGAAUCAACAUGUUACUUCGAACAUUGUCGGUAUGACACAUGCAGACCCUUAUCUUGGUAAUGAUCAAUUGUAUGUUGGUGAUGGCAAGACACUUAUUAUAUCUAAUACAGCUCAUAAAAUUUUGCAUGCUCUAAAACGAACCUUUACUUUGUCUAAUAUUCUACAUGUUCUAAAAAUUAAGAAAAGACUCUUAUCUAUUCAACAAUUUUGUCAUGAAAAUUGUGUCUUUUUUAGUUUCACUCUUUUUUUUUUCUAUAUGAAGGAUCUUAUAUCCAAGAUAGUGUCUUCCCCAGGCUUUUCUAUCUACCUUUGCUGAUGUUUGGCAUCGUCGUCUCGAUCAUCUCAGCUCUCAUGUUCUAAGUCUCUUAGCGUCAAAUAAAAAGGUUGUUUGUACUUCUUGUCCUUUAAAUUUUCAAUGUCAAGCUUGUCCGUUAGGCAAAUCAUCUCGUCUGUCUUUAGGCCCUACAGGUCAUCAAACAUCUGCUCCUCUUGAACUUGUUUUUAAUGAUGUGUGGGGCCUUACUCCUAUGUUAUCUUCGGAUGGUUUUUGUUAUUUUUGUUAUUUUUAUGGAUGCACAUACAAAUUUUAUCUGGUUUUAUCCUCUUGUCCUCAAAUUUGAUGUCUUCAAUAUGUUUCAUCUCAUCAAUUUCAAGUCUUCGUCGAACGACAAUUCUCUCGAAAAAUUAAAUUUGUUCAAACUGACUAGGUGCUAAAUAUCGUAAAUUAAAUUUAUUCUGUAAAACCAUUGGUAUUCAUCAUCACCUCAUAUGCCCACAUACGCUUGAACAGAAUGGUAUUGUUGAGCGUUGUCAUCGUCACAAUGUUGAAACUAGUCUUACCCUUCUUGGUCAAUGUAAGGCACCUUUAAAAUUUUGGACUUAUGCUUUUGAAACCUCUGUUUACCUCAUUAAUUGUAUGUCUACACCAGUUUUGCGCAAUAAAUCCCCUUUUGAAUGUCUGCUUCGUCAACCACCUAAUUGAUUUUUUAUGUACUUUCAGAUGUUUAUGUUUUCCCUUCCUUCGACCUUAUAAUGCUCAUAAGUUAGACUAUCGCUUUACUACAUGUGUGUUCUUAGGCUAUAGUUCAUCUCAUCUAGGGUAUCAUUGUCUGGACUUAUUGUCUCUACAUCUCCCGUCAUCUUCGAUUUAAUGAACAAGUGUUUCCAUUUCUCGAGUCUGCCCAUCUCCCUCCACCCACCAGCCAUACCCAUCCGCCUACCACUGUCACACACCUUCCCUCACUCACCAUCUUUCCGUCUACCACACCAUCAGCCCCACCACCAAUUUCCUUUAACCCUGAUGUCCCCUUAUCACCAUCUGCCUCCAUAUAUGUUGAUCAUUUUGCAAGUACAGAGUCUGCAACACCAGUGUUGUUUGUGUGUGCGUCUCCUCCAGCUGCUGUCUCUCCAGCACGGUCAUCCAGCUCUUCCUCUCCAUCCAAAUCAUCUACCAUGUCUUCACCAAGUCUGGACCUCUGUGUUGAUUUGUCCAGUUAUACUCUUGUGUGGCACCGUCCCCUAUUCAAACCCCUGCUCCUUCAGCACAGCGACAACACCCUAUGGUGCUGAGUCCCAGAUAUAACAGGACUGCCAACAUCACUUCAGUCGCUUAUUCUUCCUCAUAACCUCCAGCUUCACGGGUAAUGUCUCCCUCCACUCUCAAACCUCUUACUUUUAAGGAGGCCGACCGUUUUAUUUGUUGGCAUACUACCAUGAAGUCAUAAAUUGCAGCUUUACAUGCCAAUGGUACCUGGUACCUUUUGAUCCCUCCAUGAAUGUGGUUGGCUAUUGAUGGUUGUAUAAAAUAAAGUGUUAAACUAAUGGUGUUAUUGACCACUAUAAGGCUUGCUUGGUUGCGCGCGGGUUCACUCAACAGGAAGGCAUUGAUUACUCAAAAACCUUUAGUCUUGUUGUUAAACCAACUACUGUUCGAUUAGUUCUCACUAUUGUCAUGUCCAAAGGAUGGCAGAUUCAACAACUUGAUGUCCACAAUGCCUUCCUUUUGUAGACUCUACUUUGCGAAAUCAUGUUUGUCUUCUUCACAUGUCUCUAUACGGUCUAAAACAAGCCCCUCGGGCUUCGUACACCCACCUGAGUGACUUCCUUCAGAUUAUUGGUUUUCAGGCUUCCAAGGUUGAUACCUCUCUCUUUGUUCUGACAAGGAAUCAUGAUAUUUGCUAUUUAUUUCUCUAUGUCGAUGACAUCCUACUUAAUGGUAACAACUUUGCCUUAAUUCAUCGCCUUAUUACCUUACUGAGUUCAAAAUUUAAGCUAUGUGACUUGGGUAAUGCUUAUUAUUUUUUGAGAGUUAAGGUCACUCCUACUAGUGUGGGACUCAUACUGAGUCAGCAUAAGUAUGUUCUUGAUAUUCUUUGUCAUGCUGGUAUGUCAUCUUGUAAACCUGUCGAUACACCAGCCUUUGUUUCUAAGCUUGAUCUUUCGUCUACUAUGUUAUUCUCGGAUCCCACUCGCUUUUGAUAAAUUGUUGGUGCUCUUUAGUAUCUCACAUUUACUAGACCGGACAUUUGUUAUGUUGUUAACAAGGUUUGUCAGUUUAUGCAUACUCCUACUAAGAGUCAUUGGGCUGCUGUUAAACGUAUCUUACGCUACUUUAAAGGUAUGUCAUCUUAUGGCAUCCACCUUACUCGUGGCUCCUCUUUAUCACUUCAUGGGUUCACUGACGCAGUUAGAGCGGGGAGUGUUGAUGAUCGAAAAUCUACUCGAGGAUAUAUUGUUUUUCUUAGUACCACACUUGUUUCAUGGAAAUCUGGAAAGCAAUGCACUGUUGCUUACUCCUCCACUGAAGCAAAGUAUAAAGCUUUGGUUGAUGGUACUGCUGAGGUUCUUUGGUUACACUAUCUUCUGACAGAUCUGUGUUUUCCCCUAGUUCUGUUACUACUAUCUAGUACGAUAAUUUGGGUGCUACUUAUGUAUUUGCUAAUCUGAUUUUUUAUGCUUAAACAAAAGAUGUUGAAGUUGAUUAUCACUUUGUUCGUGACCGGAUGACCAAAAAGGAGAUUCAGAUUUGCUUCAUCUCCUCCAAAGAUCAAUUAGUAGAUGUUCUUACUAAGCCACUCUCUUACUCUAUAUUUGCUCUUUUAUGUUCCAAGCUUCAUGUGGAUAACUCACCUUCAACUUGAGGGGGUGUAUUAUGGAAUGUGUUAGAAUAGGAAAUAUUGUAUUAUUAAUGUAUUGACUUAUUAUGUGUAAUAUGCUACACCAUAACACAUGUACUACCCUAAUUAUAUAAAUAGCAGAGGUGGCAAUCUGACAUGAUCAAAAGAUUGAUGUCUUAUCCCAAGUGCAGGAGUAUCGAAGUAAUAAAUAACUCAGCAAGACCGAGGUCGAACCACAGGGAGGUGAACUAUAUAAAAUUAUAAACAAUAAAUGAAAAGGAGUUGAAAAGAACUUUUGAGAUGUGAUAUUGAUGUAAGGAUUAAACAAUGAUAAAACAAUUGUCAAUGUUAAAGGACCCACUAAUGGUAUUUCAAACAAGUAUAGUAUAAACUCUUUUUAUUACUCAACUGAAAACCACACACAAAGGAGGUUCCAAUCGAAUUAUAAAUUCUUAACAUGAUUAUAUUAAUUAUCUUAUUUGAGUAAUGUUAAUACUUGUAAAUGUAGUCAGGUAUUCAUGAUUAUUUCUUGCCCUGUUCUCCUGAGAGAUACAUUGUGUUCCCUAGUUUGCUUGUUGUUUGGCUUGUUGCUGGAUGUGGCUUGCUGGUUGCUGGUUGCUGGUUGUUGCUUGCUCCUCUCUGCCUUGCUUGUCAGGCCUGUUGAUUGCUAUUUGGCUUGUAGCUUGUUGCUUUUACUGUAGAAGCCUGUUCCCCCUUUUUGGGAUGUUUGGUUGGUCUGCUGGAUCGGAUCUUCUGUUUGUAUAAGGGCGCAUGUUCCCUAGUGAUUUUCGGUGUGCUUGUCCUGGGGAGGCUGUUCCCCUGCACACGCCUUUGUGUUGUACUUGUUUUGCAAGCUAAGCUUGCUUUGGUUUCUUUGCUUUAUGGUCCGGUUGCUUGUUCAGGGGAGGCUGUUCCCCAGCACAAGCCUUUUGUUUUCUUAUGUUCAGCAAGAUCUUCUUGCUUUAGUUUUCUAAGGGCAUAUGUUCUCCUUGGCUGCUGCUGCUGCUGUCUGUAAUGUUCUGCUGGUUUCCAGCUUGUAUUGCAAGCUUGUCUUGCUAUUUUCGAUCUAUAUACUUCUUACAUUUGAUAAAUAAAAAAAACAAAUCAAGUUCCUUUCAUAGCAUAGGUGUUGGUUAUACCAUAUAGUUGGCUAUGAAAGGGUCAAGUAUUUGUUGCACCUAGGCUUCUACACCACAAAUCUAGAUUAACCAUUUAACAAGCAAGGUAUUAAGAGUGAGUAAGACAACAAAUACGAAACAUGUUGGUAUCAAACAUUAAAAUCCAUGUUGAGUUUAUAUUAUACUUAUUCUUACACCAUUAGUGUAUCCUUUUCACCUUGACAAAAUUAACUUAGCUAAACAUCAUGAAGAAGAAAAACAUAAAUAAACAAUAUAAGAACAUGAACAUGAUAUAAGUUAACUAAGAAUAGUAAAGAAAAUGGAAAGCAUAAACAAGAGAUUGAUAUAACAUAAAAUAAAACUUGAACAUUAAAAUAAAAAGAGAGAGAGUGAUCUUGAUCUGAAAACCAAAAUGUCUAAAUGUAUGGUAAAUGCCUCCUUUUAUAGGCUAAAAUUCAGAACUAUUGAUUUGAUGACUAAUUAUUGAGUGGAUGGCCACCUCUUGACUUGGUGACAACCAUUGUCUUCUUGUCUGAACAAAACAUCAUUGCUAACGUUAGAAUUUAAACAGAUAGUCUACAUGAACAUUCUGGGCAUUUGUCUCAGCUUUCCAACAAAACAAGAAUGAGCUCAUUUGGAUAUCUAGAACUCUAGAUAUGAGCUGAACAUUGAACAGUGUUUGGGCUGCAAGACAGAUUCCAACUUCUCUUUUGUUGCUACAAUUUGAACUUGAAAAUGACCCAUUUGAAUUUGGACUCUUCAUUAAAGUUUUAGGCCUAUGUCUUAGCUUUCCAUCCAUAUAAACCAGACCUAAAUCCAAGUUAUACAGCUCCAGUUAUGAUCCAAUAACCGAAUGGUGUUCCAGUUUGAAUUGAACCAUCAUCUCUUCUUUAAGCUUAGCCCUCUUUUUGUCUUUUUACUUUCAAUAGUUAAACACAUCAAUCAAUCCUUUAAAUUGAGAGAUUUGCCUGCAUUCAAAAUGAGCAUUUACCAUAAAUCAAAGAUAUCUUAUGUUAUCGUGCUUGCUAUUAUAAAACAUGCUCAAGUUAGGGAAUUUAAUGAUAUUUUAAGUCCAAUAUGAUGAUAUAAAACCUUAAUGAAAAUGCACUUUUAAGUACUAAUAACUAUCUCAUUAGGUCAAGCCUCUCAAUUAUCACAAACCUUGUUUCAGCUAUAAAUAUUUCAUUUUCUUACUAACCUCACUUUCAACUUUCUUUUUAAACUCUAAAACUUUGCUAAGGUUUUAGAUCUUUCUUUCAUGAAAUGCACCGGACAUACCUGGGGUAGUCAAUGAUAAAUGUCACCACCAUAUAGAGAUAUCCACUGAUUGAUGCCUCAUUUAUUUUUCCAAUACAUCUAGGUGGAUGAGCUUUAUGUUAGUGUAUAUAUUUAAUUUAUUAAUAAAGAUUUUUUUUAUUUUUAAUAUUCAUCAAAUAUUUGAUUAAUGAAUCUAAUAUUUGAUAAUAAGUCUAGAGUAAGGAUAAAUUCAUUAAGACAAAAAUGCUUCGCAAAAAAAAUUAUAAAAUUGUCUUGAUCUGAAACAAAAUUUAAGCAUUAUAAAUAUAAAAAGAGAGAGAGAACAAAAGCAUAAUCUUGAUCUGAAAACUAAAAUAUCUAAAUACAUAAUAAAUAUCUCUUUUUAUAGAUGAAAAUUUAAAACCAAGAUCCCACCAGCAUCCUUGGCAGAAUUUACUCUAAGCGGUGAUGGUGGGAAAGAUUAUUACUAUAUAAGCCUUGUUGAUGGCUUUAACAUCCCAAUUUCGGUAACCCCGCAAGGAGGUUCUCCUGGCUGCAGUUCUACAAGCUGUGCAGCUAACGUGAAUGCUGUUUGUGAUCCUAGUUUAGCAGCGAGGGGGCCAGAUGGGACUGUGAUUGCCUGCAAGAGCGCGUGUUUGGCAUUUAACCAGCCGCAGUACUGCUGCACAGGAGAGUACAGUACACCUGACAAAUGUCCUCCUACCCAAUAUUCGAUGAUCUUCAAGUAGCAGUGUCCUCAAGCUUAUAGUUAUGCUUAUGAUGAUAAAUCGUGCACGUUUACUUGAAGAUCACAAACAGCAUUCACGUUAGCUGCACAGCUUGUAGAACUGUGCAGCCAGGAGAACCUCCUUGCGGGGUUACCGAAAUUGGAAUGUUAAAGCCAUCAACAAGGCUUAUAUAGUAAUAAUCUUUCCCACCAUCACCGCUUAGAGUAAAUUCUGCCAAGGAUGCUGGUGGGAUCUUGGUUUUAAAUUUUUACCUAUAAAAAAAAUAUUUAUUAUGUAUUUAGAUAUUUUAGUUUUCAGAUCAAAAUUAUACUCUUGUUCUCUCUUUCUCUUUAUAUUUGUAAUGCUUAAAUUUUGUCUCAGAUCAGGACAAUUUUAUAUUUUUUUUUGUGAAGCAUUUUUGUCUUAAUGAAUUUAUCCUUACUCUAGACUUAUUAUCAAAUAUUAGAUUCAUUAAUCAAAUAUUUGAUGAAUAUUAAAAAUAAAAAAAAAUCUUUAUUAAUAAAUUAAAUAUAUACACUAACAUAAAGCUCAUCCACCUAGAUGUAUUGGAAAAAUAAAUGAGGCAUCAAUCAGUGGAUAUCUCUAUAUGGUGGUGACAUUUAUCAUUGACUACCCCAGGUAUGUCCGGUGCAUUGCAUGAAAGAAAGAUCUAAAACCUUAGCAAAGUUUUAGAGUUUAAAAAGAAAGUUGAAAGUGAGGAUAGUAAGAAAAUGAAAUAUUUAUAGCUGAAACAAGGUUUGUGAUAAUUGAGAGGCUUGACCUAAUGAGAUAGUUAUUAGUACUUAAAAGUGCAUUUUCAUUAAGGUUUUAUAUCAUCAUAUUGGACUUAAAAUAUCAUUAAAUUCCCUAACUUGAGCAUGUUUUAUAAUAGCAAGCACGAUAACAUAAGAUAUCUUUGAUUUAUGGUAAAUGCUCAUUUUGAAUGCAGGCAAAUCUCUCAAUUUAAAGGAUUGAUUGAUGUGUUUAACUAUUGAAAGUAAAAAGACAAAAAGAGGGCUAAGCUUAAAGAAGAGAUGAUGGUUCAAUUCAAACUGGAACACCAUUCGGUUAUUGGAUCAUAACUGGAGCUGUAUAACUUGGAUUUAGGUCUGGUUUAUAUGGAUGGAAAGCUAAGACAUAGGCCUAAAACUUUAAUGAAGAGUCCAAAUUCAAAUGGGUCAUUUUCAAGUUCAAAUUGUAGCAACAAAAGAGAAGUUGGAAUCUGUCUUGCAGCCCAAACACUGUUCAGUGUUCAGCUCAUAUCUAGAGUUCUAGAUAUCCAAAUGAGCUCAUUCUUGUUUUGUUGGAAAGCUGAGACAAAUGCCCAGAACGUUCAUGUAGACUAUCUAUUCAAAUUCUGACAUUAGCAAUGAUGUUUUGUUCAGACAAGAAGACAAUGGUUGUCACCAAGUCAAGAGGUGGUCAUCCACUCAAUAAUUAGUCAUCAAAUCAAUAGUUCUGAAUUUUAGCCUAUAAAAGGAGGCAUUUACCAUACAUUUAGACAUUUUGGUUUUUAGAUCAAGAUCACUCUCUCUCUUUUUAUUUUAAUGUUCAAGUUUUAUUUUAUGUUGUAUCAAUCUCUUGUUUAUGCUUUCCAUUUCCUUUACUAUUCUUAGUUAACUUAUAUCAUGUUCAUGUUCUUAUAUUGUUUAUUUAUGUUUUUCUUCUUCAUGAUGUUUAGCUAAGUUAAUUUUGUCAAGGUGAAAAGGUUACACUAAUAGUAUAAGAAUAAGUAUAGUAUAAACUCAAUAUGGACUUUAAUGUUUGAUACUAACAUAUUUUGUAUUUGUUAUCUUAUUCACUUUUAAUACUUUGCUUGUUAAAUGGUUAAUCUAGAUUUAUGUUCUAUAACCCUUGGUACAAAAAAUACUUGGUACUUUCAUAGCCCAAACCGUAUGGUAUAACCGACACAUGUGCUAUGAAAGGAACUUGAUUUGUUGUUAACAUAAGUUAUAAUCAUGAAUAUCUGACAACAUUUACAAGUAUUAGCAUUAUUCGAAUAAGAUAGCUAAUGUAAUUAUGUUAACAAUUUAUAAUCUGAUUGGAACCUCCUUUGUGUGUGGUUUCUAGUUGAGUAAUAAGAGUUUAUACUAUACUUGUUUGAAAUACCAUUAGUGGAUCCUCUAACAUUGACAAUUGUUUUUAUCACUGUUUAAUCUUUCAAUCAAUCUUACAUCUCAAAGUCCUCAUUAUUAUUAUUAUUAUUAUUAUUAUUAUUAUUAUUAUUAUAGUUAACCUCUAUGUGGUUCUACCCCGGUCUUGCCGAGUUAUUUAUUACUUCGACACUCCUGCACUUGACAGAAGACAUCAACUAUUUGGUCGUGUCACCUUCCCUUCCCUUUCUUCCUCUCUCUCUAUCCUUUCCCUUGUUUCCUUCUGCUCUCCUUUUCUUUCCCCUUCUAUUUCUCUCUUUCUUUCUGUUUUACUCUGUUCUCCUCUCUAUAAUCUCACUUGUCUCCCCCUCCAGCUCCUCUCUCGCCCUAGUAUUUAUAAGAUGGAAAAGGGGGGGAGAGGGCUGCUAUCCUUGUCCAGUCAUGGUGUAGGGGUAGGGUGGCUAUGGUGGCCUACCCCUAGAGCCACUUGCAGGGAAUGGCUCUCCUGGCUUUUUCAUCAUGGUGGUAAGCCAUGAGGGGGUGUGGGUUGUGUUGGGGUUUUGGGUUUUUGGGAGAGAGAGAGAAAUGAAAGUUGCAAAGGAGGGGAAGAAAAACCUUCUUCCCCUGCCUUUGCACGUUAGGGAAGAAGAAGACACAUAGUGCCAUUCAAAACAAAAUUAUUUUGAACUUUUUUUUAUUGAAUAGUGCAUGAAACAAUUAGAAAACAAUUAGAAAGAGGACUUUUCUUAAACCUUAGACAGACCAACAAUUAGAAAACACAACAAUACUUUAGUUAUAUCAGACAAUGCAGCUUACCUUACGUAAGAUGUAUUAGGGGUGCUAAUACCUUCCCUUUACGCAAUCAAUCCUCGUGCCCAAUCUCUGAGAGUAGUUGGGGUUCCUAGUGACCAAAAUAUUAGGUAGUGACUCUCAUUCCCUCUUUCUAAGGAUAAAAGACGAGAAUUCUUUAUCCUGUCCAUUUCCCCACACCACAUGGCAAUAUGGAAUUCUAGGAGGACAUUCACUAUGAUGUCGCACCACAUGCGACAAUUGAGAAAGGGGAUGGUUGGAUUUUGGUCUUGACUUGAGUUGUUUUGGUUGUGAUAUUCAUGAUCGAUGUUGCUGCUAGCAUUAUUAAUGUAUGUCAUUGGCAACUGCUAUCAUUAGUUGGAGGGAGUAGUUGUUGUUGUUCUAGGAUUCAAGCAAACACCUAAAGGGAGGUGAAUUAGGUGUUCCACUAAUAAUAACAAAUAUUAAAAUUAAUUCAAUUAAACACAAUUAACCAACAAUAUAAUUAGAUUGUGUAAAGUGAAGAGUAAAGGGAUAGGAAUUGUAAACUUGAUUUUUAAUGUGGUUUAGCGAGUUUAUAUACACAUCUCAAGCACCAAAUUGGUCUUGUGUAUUUUUUUCUUGCACUAGUCCAAAUUAAAGAUUAGAAUUUUCAUUUGAUGAAUCCACAUCAAGAUUUUAAACCACUUGAAGAUCAUUUCUUUUCAAGAUUUUUCACCACUUGAUGAAUUCACACCAAGAUUUUUCCCUCUUGAAGAUAUGCUCUUUUCAAAAAAAAAUUCUUGGUGAUGUUCCCUCACCAAUACCAAGAGUUUUAUCCUAACUCUCAAAGGAUUACAAGGAUGAUUUUACUCACAAUAAAACUCUCUCGAAGAGUAGAUGAUAUAAUUUAAACUCUAGUAUCUCCAUAACUUACUCAAUAGCAUUUAGAUGAUUUAUAAAGGUCUUUAUAAAGUGUCAUGAGUAUGAAAAUAAAUGCUCUAGUGCUAGAAUAUGAAUGCUCAAUUCUUAAAAUAGCUUCUGUAAUAUGUAUAUUCAGAAUCCUCUUUUAUUUUAACAAUAAUGAGAGUUGUUUAUAAGUUUCCAAAACAAACCAGCCAUUUUUAGUCGUUGUAGCUCCAUUGACGGCUGAACCAAUCAACCGAUUCAGAUUUGUCAAGCCGAUUGGUCAAUCGAUUCCUAUAGUUUCUCAGAUGUUCAUCACGGAUGAAUAAGUGGUAGACCAGUUCACUUGGUAUUACCAAGCGGUCGACUGGUUCAACUUAAAUACCAGAUUUGAAUAGUUUGAACCUACUGAAUCUUGAACCGAUAUUAAUCCUAUAUAUAUACAAAAUUAAGUGUGUAAGUUCAUUUUAAUUUUGUUAUUAAGCUAAAAUAUAAAUAUUUACUUAAUUACUAAAAUGAACAAUUAAUUCUUAGAUUCUCAUAUGUUCUUCACUUGCUUUGGUGGCUAGGUUUUAGAGAAGAAGAAAACUAUUUUUUUUUCUACACUUUCACUCCAUUUUUUUUCUACACUUUCACUCCAUUUUUUUUCUUUUCUCUAUCUUAAGUUUUUCUUCGAGGGUCACUACGGUUUCUUACCCACUCUUUUUUUUUUCUCUCUAAUUUUUCUAUGGAGGCUAGAGUGUUUUUCUACACCUCCUCCUUUUUCUUACCUUGCCUUUCUAUUAAUAAGCAACGGGGCAGGUUCUAGAAUUUUUAUAGGUGAAACAAUCAUAUCCUUUGAUUUCUUUGGGUCGAUUUUGACCCUUCAUCAUUAUUGUACAUUUGGUACAACAUGCUCGUGUUCUAUAAAGCUCACACCAAAUCUUAAUCAUAAAGAGUGGGGAGGGGAGAGAGAGAGAAGAAGAAGAAGAAGAAGAAGAAAAUGGGGCUGAAAAACUUCACUGCCAUUUUUCAAAAUCAGAUGACCCGUUUCCUUUCAAAGGGUAGCCAAAAAGUUCCCAUACACAACACACACACCCAUUAGCGAGCUUCUUCUUUACCAAAACAAAACUAAAAAAAUUAUAUCAUCAUUUUCAAGCCACCUUCUAGCUAUAACUGGAAACAAAAAAAAACAAAAAAAACAAUACAGCCUCUUUCAUCAGCGCUGUCUUUUUUCUCCACCCUCGAGUAACUUCUAUCUUGCCCCACGUUGACUCAAGGAACCAUAGCCGCUGCUUCCACAGUACCAUUAACCUGAGGUGUUCAUUACCGGAAUCAUAACCCAAGGCAGGCCAGGAGCCCACUCACAUCGUCCAUGUGCAUCUUCAGCGUGCUCGUUCUACAUUCUUGCCUCUGACCUCUCUGGACUUAGCUUUAUUCAAGCACUAGCCACUCAAAAAAGAGUGAAGAAGAGGUACGGGAUAUCCAGUGGAGCUGCCUCCAUCAUAAUCACUCAAGGUAUAAAGCUUCUACUUAUUCUCAUGUAGUUGUAAUCUUUUACAUGUGCAUGCUACUGCAAAGGCAAGCUCCCGUUUUUCCUUUAUGUGCUAUGAAGUUAACAUAUAGUGUUGUAAGGUGUGUGGAUC
rnacentral:lncRNA from 1 species